GAAGAGGAGCAGAGUGGGGAUGAGGAGCUGCAGGAUGACGAUGGGCAUCAGGCUGAUGAUGACCUAGCGCUGGUGGUGGCUGACCAAGGGCAAGAGAUGGUGGUGGCUGACCAUGGGCAAGAGAUGGUGAUGGCUGACCAUGGGCAAGAGAUGGUGGUGGCUGAGGAUGACCUAGAGAUGGUCGUGCCCGUCCUGCCUGAAGGUGGCCUCGCGAUGGUGGUGGUGCCUAACAAUGACCAUGCACCGGUGGUGGCGUCGGCGAUCCCACAGCUGGGCGACAUGACCACGCCAAUUGUGGUAGAAGACUACAUUCCACAGCUGCCUCCACCGCCUCGCCGCUCUUGGUGCAUCAGGCUGAGGAAGGAGAGGGAGAAGAACAAUGAGAACUGAACUAUGUCAGGUAUGUCAGAUCUCCAGAAUGAUAUAUCUAUACUUAGUUACCUAUGUUAUCUCUAAUAUGCUUAGUUUCCUAUAGGUUAGCUCCAAAAUUACUUAUGUUAGCACAAAAUGAUCAAGUUUACAUAAUAAGCUUAUAGUCUUCUUCUUAUUCUUCUUCUUUUCCAAAAUGACAUAUGUUAGCUUCAUUUUACCUAAGUUGGCUCUAAUAUGCUAACUUAGAGAGCUUAUAUGCUUAGUUUCCUAUAGGUUAGCUCCAAAAUAACUUAUGUUAGCACAAAAUGAUCAAGUUUACAUAAUAAGCUUAUAGUCUUCUUCUUAUUCUUCUUCUUUUCCAAAAUGACAUAGGUUAGCUUCAUUUUACCUAAGUUGGCUCUAAUAUGCUAACUUAGAGCUUAUAUGCUUAGUUUCCUAUAGGUUAGCUCCAAAAUUACUUAUGUUAGCACAAAAUGAUCAAGUUUGCAUAAUAAGCUUAUAGUCUUCUUCUUAUUCUUCUUAUUCUUCUUCUUAUUCUUCUUCUAGUAUUCUUCUAGUGUUCUAGUAUUCUUCUUGUUCUUCUCUUCUUCUUCUUCUUCUAACUUCUUGUUUAUCAUUUUGCAGAUUUGAUUUAAUUCACGGAAGCUUGCAUGGAUGGAGUGCUUCUUUUCAAUUUGUGUUUUUGUUUUGUAUCAAUGUGAAACUUUUGUGAAUUGAUGGAUAACGGUGUUGGAUGAACAAUGUGAAACUUUUGUAAUAUGUAACGAUGGAACUAUGUGUUGGCUAUGUAUGUAUAUAUGAUGAAACUUGUGUGUUGGAUAUGAUUGUUAUAUGGAUGCUUGUUGUAUAUAUAUAUAUGUGUUGGAUAUCUCAUAUGUGAAAUAGUGACCUGAGAUUAAAAAAAAAAUUGUUACUAAUGGCGCACUUCCAUGUGGUGCGCCAUUAGUAUACCUGAUACUAAAGGCGCACCUGUGGGAUACUAAUGGCGCAUCUGUGGUGCGCCAUUAGUAUACCAGAUACUAAUGGCGCACCUGUGGGAUACUAAUGGCGCACCUGUGAUGCGCCAUUAGUAUACCAGAUACUAAUGGCGCACCUGUGGUGCGCCAUUACUAAAAUAUACUAGUGGCGUGGUACUAAUGGCGCACCUAUAGUGCGCCAUUCGAACAGGUGCGCCAUUACUAGGCCUUUUCCUAGUAGUGUAUAUGGCAUUUUUAUUCCAGUCGUAACGUUUUCACUGUGAGGUGGGGCCGCAGUUGAGCAAACCCACCCCGCCCACCGGGCGUCGGCCGAGUUUAGAAUUAGAAGAGAGAAACUAGGGAGGAGAGCUAGCUAUAGCACAGGCGCUGUUGUCAGAUGGGACUCGUGUUUAUAGAAUAGGACUACUGAGCACUCGUGCCUCUUUUUUUUGAGGGAAAAAUUAGUCGUAUGUCUAGUACCAAUAGUUGGGUGCGUGCGACCUAUAGCUGUCAUCACUUUAGGUCUCCUUUUUGAACCGCAGCUACGCUUCACAGUACAUAUUUUUUCACGCAUUUAUCCUCCUAUAUGUACUCCUAGGCUAUUUCCACGUGCUCCCAUUCGCCGGCAUGUGGGACAUAGAGCAUCUGGGUCGUAGUGCAUGCACGACUCGGAGCAUAUGCCGGGGUACUUUACAUUUCAGACCUCACGAAUUACAUGCAACCCCCCCCCCCCGCAGAAGAAUAAAUAAAUGAAUGAAUUACUACAUGAAACCGGAUUAUUUUCGUAGAAACCGGAGCACGUUCAUUAAAUUUUGGACAUAACACGUUUAUAAAAAAUGACCAGACCUAAACCAGUCUAAGGGACUCUUUGAUUUUUCCCGCAAAAAAAGGGCCUCUUUGAUUCGCAGGAUACUGAAAACACAGGAAUGGGGAAAGUAUGAUGGCGAUGAACCGAGACGAGGAGAACUCUAACUCAGUUAGAGGUUAGAGUUAGAUUCUAACCCUAAACUAACUCUAAACCAAAGAGGUGUAUGUAUGGCAGGGUUAGAUUGACAACAAAUGCUCUUUCUCAAUCAUUUGACUACUUUGGACCUUAUUUCCUGCCGGAUUUGGUGUGGCCGGCUCUUUUGUGGCCUCCUCCCGCUCACAAUUGACAUAACGAACCAUAUUUACAAAUCAAGCAUGCAAAACAUGAUAAUUUUUACUUUGUCCAUACAAAUGAGAUAUCCCACUUAAACAUACAAGUCGUCAAUCAAGCUUCACAAAAAAACACUUCAUGAAACAAAGCAUGAGCUAACUCAUCACGGAAGUCAUUCACGAUAGGGAGGGAGCCCGGAGCCCCUCACGCACCGAGGGAGGAGCUCGCCAUCGUCUCUCUGGAGGAAGGCUCUGUAGAUCCCAAGCCCCGGGAACCCCUCCGACGCCGGCCCUUGUGAGUUGAGGUCGACACCGGCAUGGGUAGCAGGGCCGCUUGCCGCCGACUAGGAACUUAAUCUUUGGGCCUCUAGAAAUAAUGCAAGCCUGUAACUAAAAUACCUAGAAAGGUGAACUGAAUCUUUGGGCCUCUAGAAAUAAUGCAAGCCUGAAAUUGAAAUACCUAGAAAGGUGAACUGAAUCUUUAGGCCUCUAGAAAUAAUGCAAGCCUGAAACUGAAAUACCUAGAAAGGUGAACUGAAUCUUUGGGCCUCUAGAAAGAUUUAUUACCUCCUCAAGCAGCAUCAAACAAUUCCAUGCGUGCACCAAAAAUCUAUACCAAGUUUGAUUAGGAUCUACUUUUCCAAAUCAGAAUUAGCGCUAGAGCGAGCAAGAUCAAUGAUAUGGCCGUGAGACAGAGAAGGAACGAACAAACUCACCCCUCUCGCGACCUCCCUGGUAGAUGCGCCGCUGCCGCGCAUGACAGAGGGAGAAAAACGACCGGUGAAGGGGGAGCGGGGCGACCUUCGAAGGCCGGAGGGAGAGGGCGGCCGGAGUAGGGCGACGGAGGCCGGAAGGAGAGGGCAGCCGGAGGAGAGAGAGGGUGAGCGGCGCUUGGGCGGGCGGCCCUAUGGGGAACAAAGAGGAGUCAUGCAAGAGGGGGGCGAUCUGGUGCGGGCAGGGGAGAUUUUUUUAGUUCUCUUUUAGUGGGCCCGAGGAUAACUAACCCAAUUAGAACCUCUCCAUCGGGCUAGUUUUUUUAGCUGGGUUAGAGCAAACUAGCUCAAACUAACCACUCUUGUUUUUAUAAUUUGAGGCUAUUUCAACCCAAACUAGCUCUAACUCAGGGAUCCAAACAAAGAGGAGUGUUACUGUACAUGCUACAAUGUGGACCGUAGCACAUUGUUUUUUAUGGCCAUAUCACCACAUUGUUUUCUACUGCUGGUUCACUGGGCUACCGUGGUUCGCACUGCUGGUUCACUGGGUUGCCGUGGUUCGCACUGCUGGUUCACUGGGCUGCCGUGGUUCGUAGUCCUCUGACCUGAGUAGCAGUAGUACUAGUAUAUACCGCAUCAUUCUUUGCUCCUUCUUACUACUCCGACAUGUGGGAGAGCCAGCAUCCGGGUCGACGUGUCAUGCACCAGAUUAGAGCGUGGAACGGAAGGGGGGCAUCACCCCGGUCGGAGCGCCAGUAAUUCAUGACUAUACUGAGUGGUCAUAUCACAAGUCUUUCCAGCAGUAACGCACCGUCAAAUCGCACAGCCCGACCUUUCCAGCAGUAUGUUUGAGAAUCCUCCACUCGCUCACCCUCCUCGCCUCUCUGUCAAACCGCCUACCCGAAAACUGCCGCGCGUACUGCCUGGGAAAAGCACCACCCUCAACUUUUAAAUACGCGAAAAUAGUUCGAGCUUGUUCGUUCUAUAUAAAUACAGUACUUGCUGUAUGUUUAUUCACCCGUGGGAUUGUUCAAUGAAUGGAAGGGCGGGGAGCACAAGUGAACAAUACUAGUACUACUAGUAGUAAGUAGGAGUCGUACAGUAGUCACCUUAAAUAGAGAGUUUCUUUUCUUUAAUGCCAUGUACACAAAUUGAAACGCUUGUUGUGGAGAGAAAAAAGAUAAUCACUCCACUAUAUAUGUACACAGGGGCCUGAGCGCUUGCUUUACUAGGGUUGCUCUCUUCAUUCUCUCAUCCUCUCCAGAUAUAAACAAGACAGCGGUAGCGACAUUUUCUCUCUGCUCACCGCUGGUCACAGAUCCGGUCGGAUCCCUUCGGCCGGUGUGUGUAGAGGACUAAAAGGUGCAUCGUUCACGCGGUCAUCACCGCCGAGGGAGGAAAGCCACAGCUGCCGGAGGGGCCCGAUCAUCUGCCCAUGUCGUUCCCUCCGACACAGCGCCGGCUCGGGAGGUCCUCCGACCCUUCUUCCUCCCUGCUGUAUUGUCCGCAGAUCUGACCUGCCGCCGCCGACAUUCCGGCGACCCUCAGGUAUAAGUUCUUUGAAAGCGGUCUUGCUCUACUGCCCCAGCUCCCCACGUGUCUGCAUGUGCAUAUUUUUUUACUCCCAUCAGCUCUUCCAAAGCCACCUAAAUUUUUAGUAUUAUUAGAGGUUAAGCUACUUCAUGCAUUCGAAUCUAGGGCUUUGUUCAAACAACGAAGAAAGGUGGGAAAGUUGUAGCAUGAAUCUAGGACUUGAUUCAAAGAGAAAAUAAUAUGGUGAAAGUAGUAGAGACCGGAUACCCAACCGGUCUCUUGGUUGAAAAGGGAAAUAAUGGGAAAACGCAGUACAAACUGGAUAAGGAACAGAUCUAUUAUUGGUUGAAAAAAGGAUAGAAAGUGGCGGUAGUGGACAAGUCAACAGAGUAUGUCCAGGAUUAGAUUUGCUGCCAUCACAUAGUAAAAGGUCUCCAGGAUUAGAUUUGCUGCCAUCACAUAGUAAAAGGUCUCAGAAUUAGAUUUGCUGCCCUCACAUAGUAAAAGGUCUCCAGGAUUAGAUUUGCUGCCCUCACAUAGUAAAAGGUCUUCAGGAUUAGAUUUGCUGCCCUCACAUAGUACAAGGUCUCCAGGAUUAGGUUUGCUGCCCUCACAUAGCAUGAACAAACUCGGCAUCACCAUUUUAUGCCUCCUUGUAGGUACAUUGUGCUGAUGCGUCCACUGUCGCAUGUCCUUAUACCAACCUUUUGAUGUUGUUAAUGUAAGGGCGCAUGUAAAAUGAAGUGAUCACACUGUUACCUUAGGGACAUGUCUAACCAGUGUUAUUGUUAAUCUAAUGCCUUCAGUGAUAAGAUGCAAUUAAAGUGUGUUAUAAAUGGCACUCCUGCUGUUUGCCCCAGUAUGAUAAGUAAGUUGCUCCUUUACGCUGUUGAGUGUCCUGGUGUCCCCACGGUCCCAUGCCCUUAAACCAACUCUUUACCUACUGUUGAUUUACUAUAUCUGGUAAACAAGCAAUGCCACCAUUAAAGUAAUCUCAUAUUUGAGGAAUCUCAUUGUUGAUCGUAAUGCUUUUGGUAACAUGAAGCAUUGUUGACAUUUUAAAAUUUCUACUGUCCUUGCGUGAUUGCCAUGAACAAAAUUAAGAUGCUUCUUUUCAUUUUGUAUAUGUUUCGUAUAUUCUUAUUGACCAACAACUGUUUACUUUCUAUCUUUUUGUGCAGAUAGGGAUAUCCAUUUCACCUUGUUGCUAUUGUGACCUUUUGGUGAACUGCACAAAACACUUUUUUUGGAAUGAGUGUCUUGUGCAGUUCAACUAAAAUGUCACGUGGGCAACAUCUCUCAAUUUUGGUGGAACUGCACAAAAUGGUCAUUGGAGUUUCCAAAAUCUCCGUCAAGUUCUGCUGGUAAUCUUGUGCAACAUUUUAUUAGCCUUUGCAAGAUGGAGUCGUCACUGUCACCACAAUGGCAUUUUAUUUUAGUGAAACAUUUUAUUAGCCUUUGCAAGAAAAUUAUAGUUGCACCUUACAUGAGCCGUCAACCAACCUUAAUGUUCCUCAAUUUUAGUGCAACUACUAAAUAAAAACCUGCCAGCUCACGAGAGCAAGUACUUCUUGCUAGCUAAAUGAUGCAAUCUUUGCUUCAUUUCAGGUGAACUGCAGAAAAAGGCGCAUGAAUUGAAUCAUGGAACUCCAGGCAGACCUCAUCCUAGUGGAGUUGCGUUGAGUUCAAGGAGGCCACUAUUAAAGCGAAAUCAUGCUCUCCUUGUUUGUGUUGUGCAAACAGGAAUACUCAACUACAGAUGUUGUGACGGUCAAGAGCAUUCGCCAAGUUCUUCGAUUGUAUGACAUGGCUAGCCAAGAUGGAUUUAAUCCCGAUAUUCACUUUAUCAAAAGGCUCUAAUGGGUUGGUUCUGAAUCUUGCAAGCUGGGAAUCAAUGAGAUGUGUAGGCAUCUUUGUUGUACUUAUUAUUUGAAUCUUAUUUGUUGGUUCUGAAUCUUGCAAGCUGGGAAUCAAUGAGAUGUGUAGGCAUCUUUGUUGUACUUAUUAUUUGGAUCUUAUUUGUUGGUUCUGAAUCUUGCAAGCUGGGAAUCAAUGAGAUGUGUAGGCGUCUUUGUUAUACUUAUUAUUUUGAUCUUAUUUGUUGGUUCUGAAUCUUGCAAGCUGGGAAACAGGACAUGAUGAUGCAGAGGACAACAACUAUAACAAACAGUUCAAACUUGGUAGUAUUAUCUUUGUGAAAGUGUGACAAAUGUGCUGAUCGUGUGCGUCCUGAGAAUAAUAAUUCUAAUUGUUGUGCAUGUUGAUCCUGUGGCACUGAUAGAACGAGCAAAUGCAUUGCUUGUUUUAAGUAUAAAUUUCCAUUAAAGCUAAUUAAAUUCAAGUAAAGUGACCACUAACUACUGUUAUUAUAGUACCAAUACAGACCCGCUCGUGAACCGACGUGUGGCCGGAAUAGGUUUCUUAAUGGAGGCAUUUGAAUGCGCCGAGGGUGCAUCUUCUGCCGGGCGUGCAGCGGACGACGGAGGGGUAGUAACUGUUGUCGCAUGUACACACUCAGCUUAUUGGUGAAUCCAGUUCCCCAAGAGCUGAAAAACAAACUGCUGCCGCCGCCUACACACUCAUUCACUCGAAGAGACUCCAAUGGCGAUCCGAGGGGUGAGCCUGCUGGAUAUGGACUUCAGCAAGGAGUUCCCCUUUGAGUUUGCCGUUCAGUCCUAUGGCUGCACCUAGUUGAAUGUGAUGUACACCAACGAUCCGGACUCGGUGAAGCUCUACCUCGCCUCAGUCCUAUGGCUGCACCAGAUUCUGGAGCAUUCGUCUGUUUCAUCGGCAACGCCAAUUGCAACUUCACUAUAGUGGAGAAAAGGAAGAACACGAUGAUUCGGCCAUCUGGUGCAACAAGCUUGUCGACAUCUAGAAGCAAUACAAGAUCAUCAGCAACAGGCAGGAGAAGGACUCCGUGGUUGACCUCGUCGGGACCAUCAUCGACCCCUGAUACGCCAACAUGAAAGAAGACAAUGAUACCAAGGACCUGAACACGUGGGAGGUACCUCUGAAUCUAGCCUACAUAACCUACGCGGCCAAGGACGCAUACGCAUGCUACGACAUGUACAGGCAGAUCUUGGACAUGAGGGUGUGUCUGCUUCCCGUAACCGACGAGUACACGGACAGCCGCAGUGUCAUGAUCAAGCGUGCCAGGAAGGUCUAGAUGUUGUACUUUAUCUGUUUAUAAGCACCUUUAUCAUCUGAGUGUUUCAUGCAUUAGCCUAUGUGUCGUAAUUAUCUGUUUUGUCCGAAAUAUUUCUUUUAAGAACCCAUUAACCUGAUUGCUUUUUUAGUGGCUAUUUGCUUAUGUAUGUAACUAGUUCACUUGUCCGUUAAAAAAACUAAUUCACUCGGCUGCCGUGCUUUGGAUCUCCUUCCUCCCAACAUAUUCCCCUCCUCAGGUGGACCUGACACGUCUCUGAAUUUUCUCCCACUUCCUUUUUCGAUGUAAACUGAGUUUUCUCCCAGUACUUUUCCCUAGAACCAACUCAACUGUCCCAUGUCUAGCCUAAAAAUAAUAAUACCCCACGUACUAUUGACUCAUCAAAUUUAAAUGUUAUUUUAUUUCGUAAGUUGAAAGUUCUUACAAAAUAAUAAUAAUAAUUGUUUAUUUAAAACAUGGCAAGUUAACUCCUAGUGAUUGCGUACAUAAGCUUGCAAAGAUUUACUGACCAAUGCAGUAAUAGACGUGCAAUCAUGUGUUUAUGUUUUUAUAACAUUUCUCCGUCUAGCCCAACAUGAUAUUUUCACCCAGCCCAGCAAGUCCACGGAUUUCGAGAAAAAUGCAAAUGGGAUUUAAACGGGCUGCAUAGAUGCUACAUCAUUGUUUCACCCAGCCCACCAAAUGGACUAAAAAACAAAUGGACUGGCUGACAUGUGGUCCAGUAGGUCGAAGCCUAAGAAGGCGUUGGAUUUACAUCCAACAGUCGGCAUUCUUCUUCAAUCUCUUAUCUUCUUCCCCCAGCGCUGUCGGGACCGCCUGCUCUAGCCUUCGGCGUCCAGCGGUGUUGUUUUGCGCUCCUCAGCGAAACGCUACCCCGCCGACGGCCAGGCCAUCCAUCCACUCUGCAUCUCCUGUUAUUCUCUGCCGAGUGUAGGCCCACCCCGCACCCAAACCAGUCAAGUUUCCCACUCCUCUCCGUCUGCGACUCCACUGCCGCGUCUUCCCCAUAUCCGGGUCAUUCCAGUCUGGGGCCUCGCCAUCGUCCAUCGCCUCGGUGCGCUCGGCGCGGCGUGGUCAACAUACGAGAGUCAUCGGAAGAGGACUAUACGUGGAGAGCCUAACGGCUAGGACCCAUGAGGUCCAUGGUCGCACGCAAGGAAAGUUCCUCCUUAUUAUGCAUUGUAAUGGACUGUACGUGGGAAGGGCUUCUGUAUUUCGCGAAAAAAACGUUUCCCCCGCUGACAGGUCGGACCCACCAGCUAUAUCUUUGCACACAAGGAAGUGCCUCCUUAUUACGCACAAAAAAUGAAUACCCCCCUGCUAGCUGGGACCCACCAUAGUGGGUGGGUGACUUGUGGUCCUACUAAGUUGACGAGGGCGGAGGGCUUUGUCAACUUAGUCAAUAUGAAUGAUUCUAGAUCUAAUGACCGUAUGAUGUCCAUCCAACGGUUAUAGUGCUUCUUCAACCUCUGGUCUUCUUGCUUCAGCCGCCCAAAGCAGCGCCGGUCGUGCCGCAUGCUCCUGCCUCUCAUGGCCAGCUGUGAUGCUGCGGAGGCCUCACCACCCCCUACUACUCCCACCGUUGGCCCAGGGCAUCCCUCUACUCACCCACACCCCCUGUUAUUCUGCGGCGACAGCAGCCUCACGCCGCAGCCGAACCAGUGAACCCUCGUACUCCUCUUCACGUGGGCAUCCACUGUCGCGUCUUCCGCGGCUCCACGUCGUCCCCUUCCUAGGCCUCACCGUCGUCCACCGCCUUGGUGCUCUUGGCGUGGCGUGGUCAAUGUGGUCAACGACCGACUUCCAUCGGAAGAGUACUGUACGUGGAGAGGCUGACAGCUGGGUCCAUGGCCGUAGCUGGGUCCACGACCACAGCCCAGUUUUUGUGUGAUUUGCCAAGUAAGUCGCUUUGUCAGGCCUGUUGGGCUGCAAAUCUUUCAAGAUGAGGAGAGCUUCAUUCGGCUGGCCGAGAAAAUGGCCUAUCAGUAAUGAGAAAUGGGUUGUACAUUUUUAAAACACAUCAAACCGGCAAUUAGUUUCAAAUAUCUUUUUUCAUUUCGAGAUUUUAAACUGCAUUUAUUUUUAUGCGUGGACAAUUUGUUGGAUUUUAUAUUGAUAUACAUUUAUUUUUAAAAUCAUUUUGAAUGUGACUCGAAAUUUCGGGAUUAAAAACAGUUCGGACCGCACCGAAAUAUGCAAAAUUUUGUAUAAUUUUUUAAUUGUGGCCACAAUAUGGGUUGUAAUGCUAACAAAAAGAAUAUGGGCUCCAAAAAAACCUUAAGAAUUAGCAAAUGGGCUGUAAAUUAUUAGAAAUAAUGGCAGGUGGGUUGUAUGCUGUUUUCCACAGAUUUGAGGCUUUCCUAAAAAAAAGGUUGACGCACAAGCAGUGACUGUUGGAUUUCCAUCCAAUGGCCGUCGUGCUUCUUCAAUCUCUGCUCUUCCUGCUCCAGCCGCUCAAACAAGCGCCGACGGGACUGCCUGCUCCCUCCUCCCCGCGGCCGGCUGUGCUACUGCGGAGGCCUCACCGCCCCACCGUACUCCCAUCGCUGGCCUAGCCAUCCCUCUACUCACCCACACCUGAUGUUAUUCUCCGGCGACGGCAGACGAACCAGUAAACCCUCGUACAGUCGUACUCCCCUCCGCAUGGGAAAUAACUGCCGAGUCUUCCCGUCCUCUGUGUCGUUCCCUUCCUAGGCCUCGCCGUCGUCCACCGCCCUGGUGCUCUCGGCGCGGCCUGGUCAACGUGGUCAACGACCGACAUGCAUCUAAAGUGGACUAUACGUGGAGAGGCUGACAGCUGGGUCCACGGCCGCACGCAAGGAAAUGCCUCCUUAUUACGCGCAAAAUAAUGAUUGCUCCACCUGACAUCUGGGACCCACCGAAAGGGCCUCUGUAUUUCGCGAAAAAAACGUUACCGCCACUGACAGCUUGGACCCAUCAUCUAUAUCUUCGCACGCAAGGAAGUGCCUCCUUAUUACGCACAAAAAAAUGAAUACUCCCCCUGCUAGUUGGGUCCCAGUAUAGUGGCAGGCUGACUUGUGGGCCUACUAAGUUGACAGGGACGGAGGGCUUUGUCAACUUAGUCAAUACUCCAGUGAUCGUACGAUGUCCAUCCAACGGCCGUAGUGCUUCUUCAACCUCUGGCCUUCGUGCUCCAGCCGCCCAAAGCAGCGCCGGUCCUGCCGCAUGCUCCUGCCUCCUGUGGACGGCUGUGAUGCCGCGGAGGCCUCACCGCCCCCUACUACUCACACCACUGGCUAGGCCGUCCCUCUACUCACCCACACCCCCUGUUAUUCUGCGGCAACGGCAGCCUCACACCGCAGCCGAACCAGUGAACCCUCCUACUCCUCUUCGCGUGGGCAUCCACGGCUGCGUCUUCCUCGGCUCCGUGUCGUCCCCUUCCUAGGCAUCACCGUCGUCCACCACCCUGGUGCUCUCGGUGCGGCGUGGUCAAUGUGGUCAACGACCGACUUCCAUCGGAAGAGUACUGUGCGUGGAGAGGCUGACAGAUGGGUCCACGACGACCACAAGGAAGUGCCUCCUUAUUACGCGCAAAAUAAUUAUCGUCCACCUGACAGCACGGACCCAUCGGACGGGCCACAGUAUUUCACGAAGAAACAUUUCCCCCCUGACUGCUGGGACCCACCAGCUACACCUUCACACACAAGAAAGUGUGUCCGGGCAAAAAAUGAUUGGCCCCCUGACUCCUGGGACCCACCAGCUACAUCGUCGCACGCAAGGAAGUGCGUGACAGUCGGGACCCACCUGGUCAAAGCAUACGUAGCAUUGUUAUUCUGGUUGAGAACGUGUACGUACAUAGUGGUGGAUGUAGAGGCGUGCACGUGUCGUAGUAGAGGCGCGCACGUGUCGUAGUAGAGGCGCGUACUGUCGUAGUAGAGGCGCGCACGUAGCAUGUACACAUACGUAUAGCGGCCAGUGUGCAAGUAAGAAAAUGCGGCCACGUAUGUGUAUGUUGGAAGUAUGCCCUAGAGGCAAUAAUAAAAUGAUUAUUAUUAUAUUUCCUUGUUCAUGAUAAUUGUCUUUUAUUCAUGCUAUAAUUGUAUUAUCCGGAAAUCGUAAUACACGUGUGAAUACUUAGACCACAACAUGUCCCUAGUGAGCCUCUAGUUGACUAGCUCGUUAAUAUACAGAUAGUCAUGGUUUCCUGACUAUGGACAUUGGAUGUCAUUGAUAACGGGAUCACAUCAUUAGGAGAAUGAUGUGAUGGACAAGACUCAAUCCUAAGCAUAGCACUAAGAUCGUGUAGUUCGUUUGCUAGAGCUUUUCCAAUGUCAAGUAUCUUUUCCUUAGACCAUGAGAUCGUGUAACUCUCGGAUACCGUAGGAGUGCUUUGGGUGUACCAAACGUCACAACGUAAUUGGGUGACUAUAAAGGUGCACUACAGGUAUCUCUGAAAGUGUCUGUUGGGUUGACACGGAUCGAGACUGGGAUUUGUCACUCCGUAUGACGGAGAGGUAUCACUGGGCCCACUCGGUAGUGCAUCAUCAUAAUGAGCUCAAAGUGACCAAGUGUCUGGUCACAGGAUCAUGCAUUACGGUACGAGUAAAGUGACUUGCCGGUAACGAGAUUGAACGAGGUAUUGGGAUACCGAUGAUCGAAUCUCGGGCAAGUAACAUACCGAUUGACAAAGGGAAUUGUAUACGAGCUUGCUUAAAUCCUCGACAUCGUGGUUCAUCCGAUGAGAUCAUCGAGGAGCAUGUGGGAGCCAACAUGGGUAUCCAGAUCCCGCUGUUGGUUAUUGACCGAAGAGCCGUCUCGGUCAUGUCUACAUGUCUCCCGAUCCCGUAGGGUCUACACACUUAAGGUUCGGUGACGCUAGGGUUGUAUGAAUAUGAGUAUGCAGCAAACCGAAAGUUGUUCGGAGUCCCGGAUGAGAUCCCGGACGUCACGAGGAGUUCCGUAAGGGUACGGAGGCAAAGAAUUAUAUAUAGGAAGUGUUGUUUCGGCCAUCGGGAAAGUUUCGGGAUCCACCGGUAUUGUACCGGGACCACCGGAAGGGUCCCGGGGGUCCACCGGGUGGGGCCACCUAUCCCGGAGGGCCCCGUGGGCUGAAGUGGGAGGGGAACUAGCCCCUAGUGGGCUGGUGCGCCCCCCCUUGGGCCCCCCUGCGCCUAGGAUUGGAAACCCUAGGGUGGGGGGCGCACCACUUGCCUUGGGGGGCACUCCACCCCCCUGGCCGCCGCCCCCCUUGGGAGAUCUCAUCUCCAGGGCCGGCGCCCCCCCCUGGGGGCCUAUAUAAAGGAGGGGGAGGGCAGCCGCACCCUGAAGUCUUGGCGCCUCCCUCUCCCCUGCUACACCUCUCCCUCUCGCAGAAGCUCGGCGAAGCUCUGCCGGAACCCUGCUACAUCCACCACCACGCCGUCAUGCUGCUGGAUCUUCAUCAACCUCUCCUUUCCCCUUGCUGGAUCAAGAAGGAGGAGACGUCAUCCACUCCGUACGUGUGUUGAAUGCGGAGGUGUUGUCCGUUCGGCACUUGGUCAUCAGUGAUUUGGAUCACGACGAGUACGACUCCCUCAACCCCGUUCCCUUGAACACUUCCGCUCGCGAUCUACAAAGGUAUGUAGAUGCACUACUAUCACUCGUUGCUAGAUGAACACAUAGAUGGAUCUUGGUGAAACCGUAGGAAAAUUUUUAUUUUCUGCAACAUUCCCCAACAGUGUACAUAUAGGCGGGGUCUCGAAUGCCUACUCGCGCAUACACACGGCCAGGGCUCGUGUACAUGGCUGGGUCGGAACGGAGAAACAGCGUCGUUGUCGUGUUCAUAGGGAGGCAACGAAAUGCGUCGUGUUCAUGGGAAUGCGUCGUGUUCAUCGGUGUGACGCACUCGAUUCAAUCGUACACUAAUCAUACACGCAAAUGUGUACGAUCAAGAUCAAGGACUCACGGAAAGAUAUCACAACACAACUCUAGACACAAAUUAAAAUAAUACAAGCUUUAUAUUACAAGCUAGGGGCCUCGAGGGCUCGAAUACAUAAGCUCGAAUAUACAAGAGUCAGCGGAAGCAAUAAUAUCUGAGUACAGACAUAAGUUAAAUAAGUUUGCCUUAAGAAGGCCAACACAAAAGCAUCUACGAUCGAAAAGGCAAGGCCUCCUGCCUGGGAGCCUCCUAACUACUCCUGGUUGUCAGCGGCCUCCACGUAGUAGUAGGCACCGGCGGUGGCAUCUGGCUCCUGGGCUCCGACAUCUGGUUGCAUCAACCAGAAAGAAAAAGAAAAGGGGGAAAGGGAGGGUGCAAAGCAACCGUGAGUACUCAUCCAAAGUACUCGCAAACAAGGAUCUACACUACAUAUGCAACAUUAUCAAAGGAGGUUGUAUAUGUGGACUGGGCUGCAGAAAUGCCAAAAUAGAGAGAUGGCCUAAUCCUAUCGAAGACUAGCAUCUUCUGGAAACCACCAUCUUGCAGCAAACAGGAGGGAGUAGAGUAGCCUAAAGUAAAGUAGUAGUAGUGUUAUCAACCUCGGCCAGAGAUCCUUUCUCGAGUCCCUGUGAGAAAGCAAUCCCAGAGCCAUACUAUCCAUUUCUCAUCACAAUCCAAUUCUCAUCACAAGUAUCCAGUUCUAGUUGUAUCGAUUGGGAUACAACUCCAAGUGUCCGUUAUCGUAGGACAGGCUAUCGAUAGAUGUUUUCUUCCCUGCAGGGGUGCACCAACUUACCCACCAUGCUUGAUUAACUCCGGCCGGACACACUUUCCUGGUUCAUACCUGGCCUCGGCCAAACAAUACGCCGCAACCCGACCUAGACUUAACAGAGAGGUCAGCACGCCGGACUAAACCUAUGCCCCCAGGGGUCAUGGGCCAUCUCCCCGGAAACUCCUGCACGUUGCGUACGCGGUCGGUGAGCAGACCUAGCCUCCCUUAUACAAGCGAAGGCGUAACCAGUCCAACCCGGUGCGCGUUGCUCAGUUGCUGACGUCUAUUAAGCUUUGGCUGAUGCAUACGACGCAGAACGCCCAUACUAUGCCCACGUGAUGGUUAGUGCUAUCAGGCCAGAGGCCCCUCGGAUCAAAUAUCCAAACCGUUAGUGUGUUGGUAGUGCGGUCACGAGCAGAGACUCACGAAAGAUGUGACCCCGUCGCCCCGUCUCGAGGACUUGCGGCAAGGGCUAAGAAUGCUCGGCAACGCCUCGUAUUCAACUCUCGGGUACCCUCUAGGUCAACCCGUCUCCACAUCACUCGCGGGUACCCCUCAGGGUCGACCCGCCUUUCCAAGUAAUAGUGUUAAAGUCCAAGUAUCCGUGUGUCCAAACAUCAAGGGGAAAACCCAAGGAAUCACCCCCGGUGAAUUCCACUCAAUGUAAUCAUCAAGGUGAACGUAAGAGGAAUCACCCCCAAGGUUCACACUUGAGGGGUUGCACGACAGAGUCGUAUCGGAAGUGGUUAAGGCGGAAUCACCCUCGAUGACCACGACCGAGUAACUACACUAUAGGGUUAACAUCAGAAGUGAUGUAGAGGUCUCACCCUCGGCACUCGAUAGUAACCCAGUAGUGUCGAGCAACUAAGGGGAAAGUGAUGUGCGAUGUCGGGGCCUGGUCUUUGAUCCCGUUGAUCGGGUCAUCGGUGAUGAAGCAGGGGCAACAAGGACAAGGUGGGGGUCACUGAUGGAUCACUAACCAACCUAUACUAAGCAGUUUAGGAUAAGCAGGUAAGGUAACAAUAAGCAGGUUACAAAAGCAGGCUAUGCAUCAGAAUAGGAGCAAACAAUAACAAUAGCAAAAUCUAAUGCAAGCGUGAGAGAAUGGAAUGGGAGAUAUCAGGAUGAUCAAAGGGGGGGCUUGCCUGGUUGCUCUGGCAAGGAGGGGUCGUCGUCGACGUAGUCGAUCACAGGGGCAACAUCGAUCUCGGUGUCUACCGGAGAGAAAAGGGGGAAGAAACAGUAAAUAUAAAGCAAACAUAGCAUAACAGGACAACAUGCAGAGCUAGACGUGUUCUAACGCGGUGCUACACGAUGCCGGCGAGGGGGGAGUCAACCGGGAAUGUUUUCCCGGUUCCGGACCUGUGUCAGACAGAUGACCGAAGAAGGAAAGUUCCAUGUUCAGCAUGCUAGGGGCAUGUGACAGAUGAACGGAUCGCGUAUCCGGAUUCGUCACGUUUUUCUGAGCAACUUUCAUGUAGAAAACAUUUUCAUCUGGCUUACGGUUUAUUUUCUAUGAAUUUAGUUUAAAGCAUUUUUUUGAAAUUUAUUUAUAUUACGAAUUUAAAUAGUAAAAUACUUUUUACACCUAGCUGCAGCUAGCCACAAUGGCUGACAAAUGGACCAGAAUGACAGUCAAACAGGACCCACAUGUCAUAGACUGGGUUUACCCAGUCAACAGUUUGACUGGUCAAACUAGACAAGGGACCCACAUGUCAUACAUGGUAACUAAACCAGAGGUCAUUUGGUGUAACUAAUUAGAAAGGGGCCCAGCAGUCAGUGUCUAAUUAGACUAGCUAAUUAGAUUAGCCCCUAACCUAAUCCAAUGAAGCACUAAUAGGGCCGGCCUCUUGGACAGAGUCUGUAGCAGCAACGACGCAUCAGGCAAAGCAAGCAAUAACGGCUUCAGGUAGAGCAAGCAGCGACAAAGUAACGCAGCAACAAGCAGCCGCAUGGAGCAGGAGCAGCGGCAAGAGGAGCUGAGGGCCGCUCGGCAGCCGGCUGCAGGCACAGGGGCGCGACCACGGGCGGCUGGGCACGGGCACGGCGGCCGGGCACGCGCAGGGAUUUCAGGCAACAGCAGUUCCAGAGCAGCAGCAGCGCGUGUGGGGCAGCAAACAGCAGCAACAGAAGGGCAGCGGCGGCAGAAGACAUGGCGCUCGGCAAAGCAGGAUGCAGCCGGGCGCGGGCGAGCGCGCGUAGGGCGGCCAAGGUUGCGGCCGGACCCGACCAGAGGCGAGGGAGCGCGGGGCUGAGCGAUGGCGCCGGCCCGGACUUGACGGGGUCGAAGCCACGGGCGCACACACGACGAGCAGGAGGCUAGAGGAGCACCUACGCGAUGUAGCGAAGAUGAUGGGCACACGCGUGUGACCAAUAGGCCACCGGAGUGACGCCGGCGACCAGCCGUGCGGCAUCAAGCUUCGGCCAUGACGGUCCUACGGCCUAGAGGACGAGCUCAUUCAAGAGAGGUGAGGGGGGAGGAAGAGGAGCUCACGGUGAGCCUGUAGGUGUGCAUAGCGUGCUCGGGGAAGGCGCGGAGGCGAUGAAUUCCGGCAAUGGCGUUGGCGGUGCAGAGAAGGGGAACGACUCGAUCCGGUCGAAGCAGAGGCACUCGGCUCGUGUUCUUCAGCGUAGAGGAAGCAGCGGAGGCGGGAGGAUCUCCUGGCGCAAUCCUAGGUGGUGGGGAGGGCAGUGGCCACGGGAUCGACGAGGGCCAUGGCGACGACGGAGUUGGGCACAUCCAGAACGGGAAGAGGGGGUGAGAAGAGGGGCGAAUGGGGGCUAGGGUUUGCAGGGGGGGUCGAGAUGACCUUGUAGGACGCCGGUGCGUCGCUCGAUGGCCGGCACGUGGCCAAUCCGGCCAUGGGCGCCGUGGGCGCGUCCAGCGCGUCUCCUGUGAACAGGAGGUAGGAGGAAACCUCCUGGUGGGCUGGGCUACCUACUGGUCCUUUGGGCCUUAGGUGUACAGUAGCUAGGUUUCUCUCAUUUGUUUAAUUUUUCUGUUUCAGUGUUUUGCACUACUUUUAAAUACCAAUUGAAUUUUGUUCAUCAUGGAACUUGUCGCUUAAUUACUUCGCAAUAUUUUGAAAAGAAACAUAAAGUUUGAGGUCAAUUGGAAUUGUAUAAAUAUUUGCUUAUAUUGAAAAGGCUAUUUUAUUUGCUGUUGGACCACUUUACCAAUCCUAGGGAUUAAUUGGUGGGUCAAAUAAGGUUGGGUUCAACAUGACAAAUGAUCAGGGGAAUUAUAGAAUAAUGUGAACAUUUAGUUUUACUGCUCGAAGAUAUAUUAUUUUGACUUGAAAUUUAAAUUUGAAUUAGACUCUGGUUUUUUAACAAGUGGCAAUUUGGCUUAGUCAAACUUGAUGACAUGGCACCAUUAGGGGAGGUUACUAUAGCAUGAUUUAGGGGUGUUACAAUCGGGAGGCAACGGAACGCGUGGGAGCCAGCCGGCUUGGACGGAACGGGCGAUGGAAACGAGGCAUGGCGUACCGCAGAACGGAGGAAACAGCCUUGUGUUCGACCGACCACGUUCAAAACGGAAUCCUGUUCAUCGGGAGGGGUCUGGCGUACCGCAAAACGGAGGAAACGGACCACCUACGUUCGAAACGGGGGUCCUGUUGAUCGGGAGGGGUGUGGCGUACCGCAAAACGGACGAAACGGACUUGUGUUGGAGCGCUACGGUCCAAACAGGGAUCCUGUUCAUCGGGAGGGGUGUGGCGUACCGCAAAACAGGACUCCAUGGGAUAUUGUUCAUCUCCACCAUCGACCUCCUCCAGCCUCCACGGGCUCCUGUUCAACCACCCCUCCAUGGGCACCCCUUCACCGUCUACUGUUCAUCCAGCCCUCCACAGGGUCGUCCUGUUCAUCCAGAGGCAACGCCACGGGGUCCUGCAUCCACCCCCACCGCUCACUAUUCAUCUACCCCCCUCCCCCCGCAACGCUCACUGUUCAUCCCAAAGGAAGCAUCGAUCGGCUUCAGUUAGCAGCAGUAGCGAAGGAAUCGCUCAAUCGGGUUCAGUUAACAGCCAUCGAUCGAUCGCUCGGGUUCAGUAAUACGUAGCCUGCAGUGCAAUCGCUCGGGUUUAGUUAGAGCCCAACGCCUCGCUCGGGUUCAGUUAGAGCCAACGCCUCGCACACAUGCGCAUACGUGUACGAGAGAAACGCGCAUCGCUCGGCCCCCGACCUCCCACCGUAAUCAGGAACUCCCCGAAAUUUUCCUCGCCCUCACUUCUACCAUGGUUUUUUCCGUCAUGGACGGCCCAAAGAAUGCCAUGUAGCUGCAUCUCCGGCCCGCCCAGGACUAAAAGCCCAUUUUCUGUCAUGAUUUUUUGUCAUUAAAGUAGGAUCCCACCACAUCUAUGAUGAUACCGGGUUUUGUCACAAUUAUCGUCAUACAAGUGUCAUAAGUAUGACAAAAAAAAUCGUUCGGCCCAAAAUGUCACGGAUGUGUCUUUUUUUUGUAGUGUCAAGAGUGCCAUCCUCGGGAGUCCCAUCGCCCGGUGGGGAGGCCGAGGCCUCUGGAGCGCCAUCCUGAGGUCACGGCGCCUCAGUCGGGUGCUGGGUGUCGUGUCGCGCACCCUUGGCCGUACGCUCUUCUCGGACCGACACGAGCGCCGCGCUAGCUGAGUGAGGCGUGGCGGCUGAUAACCCACAAGUGUAGGGGAUCACAACAACUUUCGAGGGUACAAUAUUCAAUCCAAAUUUAUUGAUUCGACACAAGGGGAGCCAAAGAAUAUUCUUAAGUAUUAGCAGUUGAGUUGUCAAUUCAACCACACCUGGAUAACUUAGUAUCUGCAGCAAAGUAUUUAAUAGCAAAGUAGUAUGAUAAUAAAGGUAACGGUGGCAAAAGUAAUAUCUUUGGGUUUUGUAGUGAUUGUAACAAUAGCAACAGAAAAGUAAAUAAGCGACACACAAUAUGUGAAAAGCUCAUAGGCAUUGGAUCAAUGAUGGAUAAUUAUGUCGGAUGUGAUUCCUCAUGUAAUAGCUAUAACAUAGGGUGACACAGAACUAGCUCCAGUUCAUCAAUGUAAUGUAGGCAUGUAUUUCGUAUAUAGUCAUACGUGCUUAUGGAAAAGAACUUGCAUGACAUCUUUUGUCCUACCCUCCCGUGGCAGUAGGGUCCUAGCGGAAACUAAGGGAUAUUAAGGACUCCUUUUAAUAGAGAACCGAAACAAAGCAUUAGCACUUAGUGAAUACAUGAACUCCUCAAACUACGGUCAUCACCGAGAAGUAUCCCGAUUAUUGUCACUUCGGGGUUGUCAGAUCAUAACACAUAAUAGGUGACUAUAGACUUGCAAGAUAGGAUCAAGAACAUACAUAUAUUCAUGAAAACAUAAUAGGUUCAUAUCUGAAAUCAUGGCACUCGGGCCCUAGUGACAAGCAUUAAGCAUAGCAAAGUCAUAGUAACAUCAAUCUCAGAACAUAGUGGAUACUAGGGAUCAAACCCUUACAAAACUAACUUGAUUACAUGGUAAAUCUCAUCCAACCCAUCACCGUCCAGCAAUCCUACGAUGGAAUUACUCACGCACGGUGGUGAGCAUCAUGAAAUUGGUGAUGGAGGAUGGUUGAUGACGACGACGGCGACGAAUCCCCCUCUCAGGAGCCCCGAACGGACUCCAGAUUAGCCCUCCCGAGAGAGAUUAGGGCUUGGCGGCGGCUCCGUAUCGUAAAACGUGAUGAAACUUUCUCUCUGAUUUUUUUCUCCGCGAAACGGAAUAUAUGGAGUUGGAGUUGAGGUCGGUGGAGCCUCAGGGGGCCCACGAGACAGGGGGCGCGCCUAGGGGCGUGGGCACACCUCCCACCCUCGUGGACAGGGUAUGGGCCCCCUGGUCUUGAUUCUUUUGCCAGUAUUUUUUUAUAUUUUCCAAAACGUGCCUCCGUGGAUUUUCAGGACAUUCCGAGAACUUUUAUUUUCUACACAUAAAACAACAUCAUGGCAGUUCUGCUGAAAACAACGUCAGUCCGGGUUAGUUUCAUUCAAAUAAUGCAAGUUAGAGUCCAAAACAAGGGCAAAAGUGUUUGGAAAAGUAGAUACGUUGGAGACGUGUCAACUCCCCCAAGCUUAAACCUUUGCUUGUCCUCAAGCAAUUCAGUUGAUAAACUGAAAGUGAUAAAGAAAAACUUUUACAAACUUUGUUUGCUCUUGUUGUUGUAAACAUGCAAAGUCAGCAUUCAGGUUUCAGCAAAUAUUAUGAACUAACCAUAUUCACAAUAACACCUUGGUCUCACAGUUACUCAUAUCUAUGGCAUAAUCAACUAGUCAGCCAUAAUAAUAAAACUCGGAUGACAACACUUUCUCAAAACAAUCAUAACAUGAUAUAACAAAAUGGUAUCUUGCUAGCCCUUUCUGAGACCACAAAACAUAAAUGCAGAGCACCUUUAAAGAUCAAGGACUGACUAAACAUUGUAAUUCAUGGUAAAAGAGAUCCAGUCAAGUCAUACCCAAUAUAAACCAAUAGUAAUAAAUGCAAAUGACAGUGUGCUCUCCAGCGGGUGCUUUUUAAUAAGAAGGGUGGUGACUCAAUAUAAAAGUAAAUAGAUAGGCCCUUCGCAGAGGGAAGCAGGGAUUUGUAGAGGUGCCAGAGCUCGAUUUUAAAAUAGAAAUUAAAUAAUAUUUUGAGCGGCAUACUUUCACUGUCAACGCAACAACUAUGAGAUGGCGAUAUCUUCCAUACUACAUGCAUUAUAGGCAGUUCCCAAAUAGAAUGGUAAAAGUUUAUACUCCCCCACCACCAACUAGCAUCAAUCCAUGGCUUGCUCUUAACAACGAGUGCCUCCAACUAACAACAACCCUGGGGGAGUUUUGUUUAGUUAUUUUGAUUUGCUUUGAUCUUUUUGGAUCAUGGGACUGGGCAUCCCGGUUACCGGCCCUUUCUCGUGAAUGAGGAGCGGAGUCCACUCCUCUUGAGAAUAACCCACCUAGCAUGGAAGAUAUAGUCAUCCCUAGUUGAAACAUGAGCUGCUCAAGCAUACAAAACAGAAUUUCAUUUGAAGGUUUGGAGUUUGGCACAUACAAAUUUACUUGGAACGGCAGGUAAAUACUGCAUAUAGGAAGGUAUGGUGGACUCAUUGGAAUAACUUUGGGUUUUAAGGAGUUUGGAUGCACAAGCAGUAUUCCCACUUAGUAUAGGUGAAGGCUAGCAAAAGACUGGGAAGCGACCAACUGAGAGAGCGACAACAGUCAUGAACAUGCAUUAAAAUUAAUUCACACCGAGUACAAGCAUGAGUAGGAUAUAAUCUACCAUGAACAUAAAUAUCGUGAAGGCUAUGUUGAUUUGUUUCAACUACAUGCGUGGACAUGUGCCAAGUCAAGUCACUCAAUUCAUUCAAAGGAGGAUACCAUCCCAUCAUACCACAUCAUAAUCAUUCUAAUAGCAUGUUGGCACGCAAGGUAAACCAUUAUAACUCAUAGCUAAUCAAGCAUGGCACAAGCAACUAUAAUCUCUAAAUGUCAUUGCAAAUAUGUUUACUUCAUAAUAAGCUGAACCAGGAACGAUGAACUCAUCAUAUUUACAAAAACAAGAGAGGUCGAGUUCAUACCAGCUUCUCUCAUCUCAAUCAGUCCAUCAUAUAUCAUCAUUAUUGCCUUUCACUUGCACGACCGAACGAUGUGUAUAAUAAUAAUAGUGCACGUGCAUUGGACUAAGCUAGAAUCUGCAAGCAUUCAACUCAAGAGAGAAGACAAGUAAUAUGGGCUCUAAGUUAAAUAAACAAUCAUGCAUAUGAGAGCCACUAAACAUUUUCAAUAUGGUCUUCUACUCUCGACCCCAAAGGAAAGAAAAUAAAACUAUUUACACGGAAAGCUCCCAACAAGUAAGAAAAAGAACGAGAAAUCUUUUUGGGUUUUCAUUUUAAUUUCUACUAUAAGCAUGGAAAUUAAACUAACUAUUUUUUUCUUAAGGUUUAUCAAACACACAAGAAGAAAACUAGAAAAAGAAAAUUAAACUAGCAUGGAUAAUACAAUGAAAGAGUAUGAGCACCGACAACUAGAAUAGUGUGUGAACAUCAAUGUAAAGUCGGUGAGAAAUACGUACUCCCCCAAGCUUAGGCUUUUGGCCUAAGUUGGUCUAAUGCCAAGGGUAGCCUGACUGAUAUCCGUAGUUGUAACUGGGGUCGUACUGAGAUGCAGCAGCAAAUGCCUCCUGAGCUGCGGCAUGCCGGCGAGCCGCCUCCGCUCCCCCCUCGUGUUCAGUUGCUUCCUCCCUGGUAACAAUAUAUCUUCCUUUUGCCUAGUAAUCAAAAAGGAAAGGAGCGGGAAGAGUAACAUGGACAGCGCUACGUCUGUCAAAGAUUAGUCGAUGUUGGAGGAAUUGUUCAUUCCUCUUAAGAAAAUGAUGUUGGACCAUAGCGUCAUAAUCUAAAUAAGCGGGAGGCAAAAUCAUAUCACCCUCUCAUGGGGCUAUACCAAGAUAAUUAGCCACACGGGUCGCAUAAAUUCCUCCAAAUAAAUCUCCAGCUCUACCAUUAUUAUGCAACCUACGUGCAACUAUUUCCCCAAGUUAUAAUCUUUAUAACCUAACACAGCACUCUUGAGGACACAAAGAUCAGGGACACACAUAUGACAGGCUUCAUCUUUACUGUUAAUGCAUCUACCAAUGAAAAGAGCAAAAUAAUGUAUAGCAGGAAAAUGAAUGCUCCCUGUGGUAGCUUGUGCAAUAUCCCUAGAUUCUCCCACAGUAAUACUAGCAAGGAAAUCCCUAAAUUCAGAUUUGUGGAGAUCAUUAAUAUUGCCCCAGUGCGGAAGUUUGCAAGCAGUUGUAAAAUCCUCUGAGUCCAUGGGUAUAGGAUGUAUCGUAGAUAUCAAAUAGGACACUCAGAGAAUUACGUGUACAUUUAUAUUUAAACCUUCGCACAAAUGAAUCAGUCAAUUGAUAGUACCAAGGACACUUAUCUUGUAAGAAGUCCUCCAGAUCGGCAUUACGCACAUACGCGUCAAAUUCCUCCUUAAAGCCUGCUUCGACCAUAAAAUCGUCGGAUGGCAACUCACAAGCUCGUACUUCUGCGUCCCUCGGUAGUUCCUCGUCUUGUUCACGUAUAGCAAUCCUGGGUCCUUUCUUUACUGAGGAACCACCUUGGUACAUUCUCCUAGACACAAUUCUUUCUGUGAAAAAUUUCUGAAAUUUUAGUAACUUCAAAAUAAAAGUGAAUAAAACUAAACAAGAUUGAUAGCAACUACUCCUACAAGUGCCUAGAGCCUAUAUCAUGCAUUAUAAUUACUUGGGACCUCAUAAAUUUAACAUGCAAGCUCAAGAACAUGGUCACCUAUGCAGCAAAAAUUUGCAAUGAAUAAAGCACUAGAACAAAAACUAAUUGGACCAAUGGAGAGUCAUAUACCAAGCAACAAUCUCCCAAAGUAGUUUUGUGAAUGGAGCUUUGAGCAAGGAGAUCGAAAAUCCCAGCAAAAUGAGCUAGAACUCGUGCUUGAGCUGGAUGGGGUUUUUUUGGGAAGAAGAUGGAGUGUGUGGUGCUGGCAUAAGUGGAGGAGGGCCACCAGGGGCCCACGAGACAGGGGGUGCGCCUAGUGGUGGUGGGCGCACCCUCCACUCUCAUGGCCUAGUGCUUGCCCCUCCUGUAGUGUUUUUAGUGCCUAAAAUCCUCAAAUAUUCCAUAAAAAAUCAUACUAAAUUUGCAGGGCAUUUGGAGCACUUUUAUUUUUGGGAUAUUUUUUUAUUGCAUGGAUAAUUCAGAAAACAGACGGAUAAUACUAUUUUUGCUUUAUUUAUUCUAAAUAACAGAAAGUAAAAAGAGGGUACAGAGGGUUGUGCCUUCUAGUUUCAUCCAUCUCAUGGUCAUCAAAAUGAAUCCACUAACAAGGUUGAUCAAGUCUUGUUAACAAAAUCAUUCCGAAUAACACGGAACCAGAGAAAUUUCGAAAUAACACUAAGUUACCUCAACGGGGAUAUGAACAUCCCCAAUAAUAAGAAUAUCAUAUUUUUUCUUGACAGUAGGAAGAGGAAAUUCAAAACCUCCAAUAAUAAUAGUUGGAACUUUUCCAAUAGAGUUGAUGUUAUGAACUUGAGAUUGUUUCCUCGGAAAGUGUACCAUAUGCUCAUUACCAUUAACAUGAAAAGUGAUAUUGCCUUUGUUGCAAUCAAUAACAACCCCUGCAGUAUUCAAAAAGGGUCUACCAAGGAUAAUCGACAUACUAUCGUCCUCGGGAAUAUCAAGAAUAACAAAGUCCGUUAAGAUAGUGACAUUUGCAACCACAACAGGCACAUCCUCACAAAUACCGACAGGUAUAGCAGUUGAUUUAUCAGCCAUUUGCAAAGAUAUUUCAGCAGGUGUCAACUUAUUCAAUUCAAGUCUACGAUAUAAAGAAAGAGGCAUAACACUAACACCGGCUCCAAGAUCACAUAAAGCAGUUCUAACAUAAUUUCUUUUAAUGGAGCAUGGUAUAGUUGGUACCCCGGGGUCUCCAAGUUUCUUUGGUAUUCCACCUUUAAAAGUGUAAUUAGCAAGCAUGGUGGAAAUUUUGGCUUCCGAUAUCUUUCUUUUAUUUGUAACGAUAUCCUUCAUAUACUUAGCAUAAGGAUUUACUUUAAGCAUAUCAGUUAAGCGCAUAUGUAAGAAGAUGGGUCUAAUCAUUUCAGCAAAGCGCUCAAAAUCCUGACCAUCCUUGGUCUUGGAUGGUUUAGGAGGAAAGGGCAUGGGUUUCUGAACCCAUUGUUCUCUUUCUCUACCGUGCUUCCUAGCAACAAAAUCUCUCUUAUCAUAAUGUUGAUUCUCUGAUUGUGGGUUAUCAAGAUCAACAGCAGGUUCAAUUUCUACUUCAUUGUUUUUGCUAGGUUGAGCAUCAACAUGAACAUUAUCACCAGGUUCAUGUUCAUCACCUGAUUGUGUUUCAGCAUCAGAGAUAGAAAUAUCAUUGGGAUUCUUAGGUGUGUCUACAACAGGUUCACUAGAAACAUGCAAAGUCAUAUCGUUUUUCUUUUUCUUCUUUUUAGAAGAACUAAGUGCCUCUAAAUUAUUUCUUUGAGAAUCAUGCUCGAUUCUCUUAGGGUAGCCUUCAGGAUACAAAGGUUCCUGAGUCAUUCUACCGGUUCUAGUAGCCACUCUAACAACAAAGUCAUUUUUAUUAUUUAAUUCAUCAAGCAAAUCAUUUUGAGCUUUAAGUACUUGCUCAGCUUGAGUGGUAACCAUAUAAGCAUAUUUGCUAAUGAGUUUAAGUUCACCUUUAACUCUAGCCAUAAAAUCACUCAAGCGUCCUAUCUCGAAAGCAUUAUUCUUUAAUUCUCUACCAACAUAAGCAUUAAAACUUUCUUGUCUAGCCAUAAAGUCAUCAAAUUCAUCUAAGCAUGGGCUAUGAAAUUUUAGUAGAGGGGAUUUCAACUUUAUCAUAUCUAUAGAGAGAAUUUACCUUUACUACCUGUGUCGGGUUAUCAAGACAAUGUGGUUCUUCAACAGGCGGUAUAUUAAGACCAUGUAUUUCUUCAAUAGGAGGUAAAUUAUUAACAUCUUCAACUUUAAUACCUUUUUCUUUCAUUGAUUUCUUUGCCUCUUGCAUAUCUUCAGGACUGAGAAAUAAAACACCUCUCUUCUUCGGAGUGGGGUUAGGAAUAGGCUCAGGAGUUGGCUCAAUUGGUUCAGGAAUUGCCUCAGGAAUUGGCUCAGGAAGAGUCCAAUUAUUUUCAUUAGUCAACAUAUUAUUCAAUAGUAAUUCAGCUUCAUCGACUGUUCUUUUCCUGAAAACACAAUCAGCACAACUAUCCAAGUAGUCCUUGGAAGCAUCGGUUAGUCCAUUAUAAAAGAUAUCAAGUAUUUCAUUUUUCUUAAGAGGAUGAUCACGCAAAGCAUUAAGUAAUCGGAGAAGCCUCCCCAAGCUUGUGGGAGACUCUCUUCUUUGAUUUGCACAAAAUUAUAUAUUUCCCGCAAGGCAGAUUGUUUCUUAUGAGCAGGGAAAUAUUUAGCAGAGAAGUAAUAAAUCAUAUCCUCGGGACUACGCACACAACCAGGAGCAAGAGAAUUAAACCAAGUCUUAGCAUCACCCUCUAAUGAGAACGGAAAUAUCUUAAGGAUAUAAUAAUAGCGAGACUUCUCAUCAUUAGUAAACAGGGUGGCUAUAUCAUUUAACUUGGUAAGAUGCGCCACAACAGUUUCAGAUUCAAGGCCAUAAAAAGGAUCAGAUUCAACUAAAGUAAUAAUUUUAGGAUCAACGGAGAAUUCAUAAUCCUUAUCAGUAACACAGAUAGGUGAAGUAGCAAAAGUAGGGUCAGGUUUCAUUCUAGCAUUAAGAGACUGUUGCUUCCAUUUAGCUAAUAAUUUCUUAAGAUCAUAUCUAUCUUUACAAGCAAAGAUAGCUCUAGCAGCUUCCUCUUCCAUAACAUAACCCUCAGGAACAAUAGGUAAUUCAUAAUCAGGGGGAGAACUUUGAUCAUCACUAUCAUCAAUAAUAGCAUCUUCAAUAAUUUCAUUCUCUCUAACCUUAGCAAUUCAUCAAUAAAUUCACCUAAUGGCAAAGUGGUAUCACGCACAGAAGUAGUUUCAUCAUAAGUAUCAUGCAUAGCAGAAGUGGCAUCAUCAAUAAUGUGCGACAUAUCAGAAUUCAUAGUAGUAUCAGGUUUAGGUGUCGCAAACUUACUAAUAACAGAAGGAGAAUCUAGUGCAGAGCUAGAUGGAAGUUCCUUACCUCCCCUCCUAGUUGAGGGCAAAAUCUUGGUUCUUUCGUCUUUAAAGUUCCUCAUAGUGAUCAAUAGAUAUAAGUCCCAAGUGACUCAAGGAAUAGAGCUAUGCUCCCCGGCAAUGGCGCCAGAAAUUAGUCUUGAUAACCCACAAAUGUAGGGGAUCGCAACAGCUUUCGAGGGUAAAGUAUUCAACCCAAAUUUAUUGAUUCGACACAAGGGGAGCCAAAGAAUAUUCUUAAGUAUUAGCAGUUGAGUUGUCAAUUCAACCACACUUGGAUAACUUAGUAUCUGCAGCAAAGUAUUUAAUAGCAAAGUAGUAUGAUAAUAAAGGUAACGGUGGCAAAAGUAAUAUCUUUGGGUUUUGUAGUGAUUGUAACAAUAGCAACAGAAAAGUAAAUAAGCGAAGCACAAUAUGUGAAAAGCUCGUAGGCAUUGGAUCAGUGAUGGAUAAUUAUGUCGGAUGCGAUUCCUCAUGUAAUAGCUAUAACAUAGUGUGACACAGAACUAGCUCCAGUUCAUCAAUGUAAUGUAGGCAUGUAUUCCGUAUAUAGUCAUACGUGCUUAUGGAAAAGAACUUGCAUGACAUCUUUUGUCCUACCCUCCCAUGGCAGCAGGGUCCUAGCAGAAACUAAGGGAUAUUAAGGCCUCCUUUUAAUAGAGAACCAGAACAAAGCAUUAGCACUUAGUGAAUACAUGAACUCCUCAAACUACGGUCAUCACCGAGAAGUAUCCCGAUUAUUGUCACUUCGGGGUUGUCGGAUCAUAACACAUAGUAGGUGACUAUAGACUUGCAAGAUAGGAUCAAGAACACACAUAUAUUCAUGAAAACAUAAUAGGUUCAGAUCUGAAAUCAUGACACUCGGGCCCUAGUGACAAGCAUUAAGCAUAGCAAAGUCAUAGCAACAUCAAUCUCAGAACAUAGUGGAUACUAGGGAUCAAACCCUAACAAAACUAGCUUGAUUACAUGGUAAAUCUCAUCCAACCCAUCACCGUCCAGCAAGUCUACGAUGGAAUUACUCACGCAUGGCGGUGAGCAUCAUGAAAUUGGUGAUGGAGGAUGGUUGAUGAUGACGACGGCGAUGAAUCCCCGUCUCCGAAGCCCCGAACGGACUCCAUAUCAGCCCUCCCAAGAGAGAUUAGGGCUUGGCGGCGGCUCCGUAUCGUAGAACGCGGUGAAACUUUCUCUCUGAUUUUUUUCUCCGCGAAACGGAAUAUAUGGAGUUGGAGUUGAGGUCGGUGGAGCCUCAGGGGGCCCACGAGACAGGGAGGCGCGCCCAGGGAGGUGGGCGCGCCCCCACCCUCAUGGACAGGGUGUGGGCCCCUGGUCUUGAUUCUUUCGCCAGUAUUUUUUAUAUUUUCCAAAACGUGUGAUGCAGAGCAUCCCACGGUCAUCCCCAUGUACACUCCGACUACUCUCCAAGCCCCAAGAGGACAUAUGACGAGACCUCGAAUAUACACCAUUUGACACAAGGUGAACUCUCUCCUCUCCGAACUUUCACUUUCUACAUGUGAGACAUGGCUACUACCUCAUGCAUGGACCUUGCAUACACUCAGGUACAACCGAGACGACCAUGAAGGAUCCAAGGACCAAGGCCAAGCAUGGAAGAGGAGAAGGAAGAAGAAGCCGGGAGCAAGCGGUACUACCGCCCAGGCCCAACGGUACUACCGCUUAUCAUCACAAGCGGCACUACCGCUCUACAUCCGCUUCACUCCCGCAAAGUCCGACAAACUUUGGAGAUCGAAGGCUCCAGAGCGGUACUACCACCCAUCAUAGCGGUACUACCGCUUGCGCGCCUCAAGCUGUACUACCGCCCGAAGGACCGGUACUACCGCCCUGUCUGUGCACAGUGUAUUGAGCCGAGCACAUGUACCCCUUCGCCCUCACUUACCUCUUUGUGGCUCUAGACUAUAUAUACUCCUCCACCUCCUCCUAGUUAGGGUUAGCGUUGAUUUAGCUCAAGUUAGAGAUAGAGCUUCGCUCAUCCAUCGGAUCUCCUCCUGGUGAGAGACCGCGGCCUCUUCGGAGAAGAUCCUAUCGGAUUCAAGACCCCCUCUUGGGAAGAUCCCCUUGUGGAUUCAAGACCUCCUCACGGAGAAGAUCGGUUACCUUUGUAUCCUUACCUUUGUUGACUUUGGAUCUCGUGUAUCUCUUUGUGUUCUUUGAUCUAGCACUUGUGUGACUGAUUCCUUGUUGGUUGAGUGUUUUCCCUCGUUCCCCCCCCCCGUGAUUCCCUCGUGUUCUUCCGCGCGUUCUUCGUGUUUCCCCGUAGGAUCCACUCCAAAUGUGAAAGAUCGUCACCAUAGGGUUCCGCCCUCCAUCAUCUUGGUAUCAUGAGCCACGUUGAUCACGUUUUUGGAGCCCCUACCCGUGUUUUCUAGCUUGAUUUUGUUGUUUUCGUCCUAAAUCCGAAAAUCCCCACCAAAAAUAGCCCCAAAUUUUUUUGUGAUUUGUUGGUUUGAUGAUGUUUUGUUGAUUUUGAUCCAUGGAUUUGCUUGGUUUCAAGUGGAUCUAGCAUCUCCCCAAGUUUCACCUCUUUCCAUCCACAAAAUCCAUCGAAUUUUGACCCCUAAAUCAUCCAUUUUCGCCACAAAAUCGCGCAAUGAUUCGAGCAGUCGAAAAAAUCCCGACACGAGCGGUACUACCGCCCUCCAAGCGGUACUACCGCUGAGAACCACAAGCGGUACUACCGCCCAGCGAAUGGUACUACCGCCGGCCCUGUUUCGGCCUGAAACAGUCGAAAAAUCCCGACACGAGCGGCACUACCGCCCAUGCCAGUUUCAGCGUUCCGAGUUUCACCGUUUCGGCCAUAACUAAUUCAUCCGAACUCCGAUUUUGACGUUCUUUAGCUCGUUUUGAAGCUAUUGACAUCCCCCAUCCCACAAAAAUACUACCAACACCAUUUGACUCCAUCAAAUUUUCCGAAAUUUGGAAAGUUUACCUAGGCCUUCCACCAUAUCAUCCGCAUAGCCACCACCGACUUCCGCAACCUAACCCAUUUUGUUCCAUAGCAUUAGUGGUUGCUUUAGUAGUGAUUCGAGUCUCCUAAGGUGUUUCGGCUACUUAGGGACAAUUGCUUCUUCAUCAACCACCACCACCACUUCCGCAUAGACGUGGCCACCAUACAUUUCCACAAUCCAAACUUAACCCAAUUUUGUUUGAGUUGUGGCUUGUGCCUCCUAAGGUGUUUCGGCUACUUAGGGACCAUUGCUUCAACUCUGACACCGUGUAUAUCCCAUCACUCCACUCUCACAUUGCCAAGUGCAAACCACCACUGCUUUUCGCUACCACCAUUUUGACAUUUGACAUUUGAGAUUUUGAGUUCGCGGUUUUUUCCGUUUCCUAAGGUGUUUCGGCUACUUAGGGACGAGACUCCAUCAUCUUGGUAUCGUGAUAUCCCUCCAUUGUAUAUUCCCUUGCAAAUUGCAUUGAUAACCAUCAUAGACCAUAUUUUGCGUCACUUGCCUAUCGAGACUAGCCAUUUGAGUAUUGCCGACAACGUUACUUGUGCACAUUAGUGAUCAUACUUCCCAUGGCAUACAUACCAUAUCAUAUUGGUAUCAUAUCUUGUGCCACAAGUUUGUUCCCGCAUAUACACAAUUGCUAUCUUGGUUUAUACAUUGUGCAAAAGUGGCCAUACAAAAAAAAGAGAAUAAGCUUUUAAGCAAAGAAAAAAAAAGAGUGAGCAAAGAGCUUGUAAGCAAGUUCCAUAGCAUCAUACCACAUUGCAUAUAAGAUUGUCAUAUACGAUCAUCUUGGAUCAUGUUGAGAGAAACACCGGGAACCUUACAUACAUAGCAUACUUGGGAUAGAAGUUUAUCCAUUUUGCAUCUUAUAGGUUGUGCACAAGUGUCGUAUCCGCCUAUUGAGCAAUCGUGCUAGCGUCUCUCUUGAGUUGUGCAACACGAGUGUUUUCCGUGGAUUCCACAUUUUGUGCUCAUUCCUUGGUUGCACGACCCCAUUUAUCUAUCCGUGUGUGUGUUUCCGUGUGCCAUUCUUUGCUAUUGGUCUACUUGUUUCGCUUGCGAAUUUGUGAAUCUCUUUCAACAUUAUUGACUCUUGCUAACAUUUUGCAUUAAAUUUUUGUGUCACUAUCCUCACCGAGCUCCACCCAAAGCUUUACUUGUGUAGGUGUGAGAACCGACAAGAAUUGGUACCAAUAGUACUAUUUCAUUGUCCGCAUUUGAUUGAACUUGAUUCAUUGUCAACAUCGGUCAAGGUACAUUGGUAUAAGUUCUUCUCUUUCUCCCACUCAUAUUUGCUCGAGUCUUGUGAUGGAUAGGCAAGGCAUUUCCUCUUCGGUCCUCGACAACAACGACGGCGUGAACAACUACAUCACCAAAGCGUCUAUCUUCGAUCUACAAAGACAAGUGCAAGGCACACAAUCAAGAUUGCGAGAGCGCAUCGAGAACAUCUCCAUCGACAUUCAUCACUCCGAAGCAAGGAGAAGGGACUACAUCGACAAGAAGCUUGCCGCACAUAAAGAGGAGCAAGAUGCAAGGAUGGAGGAGAUUCGGACGUUGCUCAAGUCUACUUCCCCUUCGUCAUCUUCAAGGCGGCGACAUUCAAGCCACAAGUCUUCGGAGCGCAAACAAGAUGCAAGCGCAAGUCAUCCAAGUCAACAUCUACAUGGCGAGCACCAUCACGUUCAUGAUCAACAUCGUCAUGAAGGGCAAGUCACCUCCAAGCAUCAUGUGCACGACGACAACGAACGCCAAGGAGCUCAAGCACGACAAUGACAUCAUCAUCAUGAAGAUGCUCCACAAGCGCAAAUGCACAAGUCCCAACAAGCCCUACUUCAUGCCAAGUCGAAGCUUCAUAAGCACAAGAGAAGACCGCGAGACGAGCACCACCAAGACGGCGCUACGGCUACAACAACCACUUUGGCAUAUUCGCCAAGUGCUAUCAAGGCAUCUUCGCCUUUGGACAUACGACAUCUUCGCCUACUUCCCACGUGUACGCCUACAUCGACUUCAUCAAGUCCAAGGCGACCACAUACAAGUGAGGGUGACACUUCCAUCUUCGGAAGCCCCCCAAGGAAGAUGGCCGAGCAUGGGAAAUUCCCUUCGGUCAUGGAGACGAGCUAUGAGGUGCCACAUCAUAUGGGCCUCCAACACCAAGACGGUGACAAGACGGUCGAGCAAGGGCCAUCCCCUUCGACCAUGGCUAUGAGCGUGAACCUCUUCAACAACACGAAGACGACGCCCACAUUGGACUCAUACUCCGAGUCAAGCUACGUGACAACGCAUGGAGACAUUUGCACCUACAUCUCUCCGACACCCACAUAUGUCGAGAUGCCCCAAGUGCCAUGUGAGGAGAGCCACCACCCCAUGAGUGACAUGAGUGACUCCACCAUACGUGACAUUGAGAGCAUUUCCUAUGAGAGGAUGAGUGUGACCACCACUAGCCCCACACAUGAGAGCAUGCCACACAUCCUAUGUAAGGUUGAGCGCCAUUUGAGUGACUCCACCAACCAUAUGAGUGAGAGCAUCCUUGAGGGAGUGAGUGAGCCACAACAUUUAGCGAGUGAGAUAGUUGACACGGCAUGUGAGGCCAUUAUGAUUCCUAAUGACUUAACCUCUACUCCUAGUGUGUUUCCUUCUUUGGUGCUAGGCCUCCUACAUGACAACAUGCCUAUCCUUGACGAGUCGAUCCCUCUUUUGGAGACGACGAUGGCCAUGGUGGAUGAUGAUGCACCCCCCACAUGGUUCCAUCAAGAUGAAGAUGACAACGAGUGGAUCUUCAACACCUCACCUACAACACAUGAGCUACGCUCCGAAGGUAACGUAGGUGACAGUGCUCCUCUUGUUCCACUAGUGGGAUCUCUUGACAUCGAUUGCUCCCAUGAUGUUGACCCACCUAUUCACAUGCUUCAUGCUAGUGAGACUUCUUCAUGCCUUGACUUACCUAUUUAUGAUGAAUAUGAUGAGCAUGUUGAUUUGCCUAGUUGUGAUGCUAUGCUCCAUAGGAUAUCAUGUGAAAAUUCUUUUGAUCACAUCAUGUUUGACAACCCAUUGAACUUGUCAUAUGCUAUGAGUGAGAUCUCCCAUAUUGCAUCAUUACAAUCUCAACAUAGUAACUAUGCAUGCCCCAUUAAAAUCAAUCCCAUUUGCACUUAUGGCAUAGAUGAUGAGAUGAUGGUCAUUGGCUUUUGUUUUUCAUGUGAUGAUAUUGCCAUGCUUCCUUUACAUGAUUUGCGCAAUUCAUCUACUAUGCCAUGCCAUGAUCACAUUGUUCCAAAUAUGCUUUGUUUUGGAUGUUGUCAAUAUUCUCCAUGUGAUGUUCCUACUAAUGCUCAUGAGGAGACCCCCAUAGUUUCCUCAUACAUAUUAGGAGAUUUUGAUGCAUCCCAUCCUUUGCAUGAUUUCCAUGUUUGCUUGCACCAUAUGCAUUCCAUGAAUAACAAUGCUCUAGAUAUUUCUCAUGAUGCAUUACAUCGUUUGAGUCUCCAUUAUGACAUACAUCAUAACAAACCUCUCAUGAUGGAUGACAUGUUUCUAUAUCACGCAUCUCAUUUAUUUGAGCAUUGGAUAUUUUGUGCUAACCGACACAUGCAUGUGCGCAUCAUGAUGGAUGAUGUGUACAUAUACCAUGCACACACAAUUUUCUCUUUGUCUUUGUUUUGUGUAGGUACUCAUGUAUACUCGUCAACCUCUCAAUCCCAAGAGUUUACGAAACGAGCUCUUGAGGGCAACGAUGCUUUGGGAUCCCGUGGACUAUCCUUACCACUGUUCCAUUCGCGCAAGGAAUACGCGCAUCUCUUCUACUUGGCUCUCACACGGCUAUGGGCCAUUUACCACUUGUCACCUUAUGCCCAUACUAUCGUGUUCACUUUGCAUGUUAUACUUGUUUCUAUGCCUUUGCCAUGCAAUUGUGACCCUUGCUUGCAUUUACCCAUGAUGCACCAUUAUGAUACUCCUAUGUGUAUUUGCAUGCUUGGUGGAGAUCCUUGUUGCUUUUGCCAUGUUUAUCAUGUGCCCCAUGCUAUUGAUGCUUGUUGUGUUGGUAGAGUCAUGAUGCCCCCAUUGCUAUUUACAUAUGGUCUCUCGCCAAUACAUUCAUGCUAUUUUCCUCACAUCUUGCUUUCAUGCUUGUGAUAUGACAUGUGAACUAUUCAUGCCCAUUAUUUGCACCAAUGACAUGCUUGCCAUGAUUCCUCCUAGUAUGUUGCAUCUUCGCACUAUUAGCUUGCUUGACUUGAUUGAUAUGAUUUCUUGCUAUGUUGCAUCACCCAUGUUCCAAUAUUACUUGCUUUCUUGGGUUGAUGACAUAUAUGCUCAUGCCUCUCACAUGAUAUAUCUUGAUCAUUGUCUCUUGUGUCCAUUAGUUGCCUCUUUCAUAUCCACUUGUAUUGAGUGCAACCAUACUACGCUUAUUGAUUUCGGAGAUUUUGACACCUUACUUGUGAUGCAUACUUCUUUCCUUGAGCCUCUUGUAUUUGGUUGUUCUUGCAUCAUAUGCCUCCACACUAUGAAAUGCUCCCUUGUACCUUCUUAUGAUGAGCAUGAUGCAUACACUUGUUCGGUAUAUUACCACUCGAAUGAUAGGUUUUGCAUGUCAGCUAACCUCAUUUGUUUUUCCGAGUGUUUGUCAUGUUCUUUCGUUUUGAAGGAUUCACAAGGCAUUACCGUCAUGAGACAUAUUGGUUAUGUGAAGGCAUACACGAUGUGCGACACCAACAUUUUCGACAUCCUCAUAAAGGUGAACUCCUCUUUGAGCCAUCCUCAAAUACGCAUAUUGGAUGGGUCACUCUUUCAUUGUUGUUUCCUUCUUGUUGUCUACAUGAUACAUCUCGUGAACGGAGGAGCGACAUUGGAGAUUGGCUACAUGGACCUUAACAUUGAGGAGCGAUCGCACAUAUUGGAUGCACCUUCGGUCUUCCACUCAUGCCUCGACAUCGAGCUUUGGUACACCAACACCUCCAUAUUUGUUGAUUGUGCUCAUACAUGUCAUGCUCGAUGGACAUAUCAUACUCACCACAAGUUUGCACGCUGUGCAUGGAUUGACUCACAUUAUGCUUGUCUUGUUGCAUCUAUUUCCAUGGCAUCCAUGAUAUAUGAGCUUGUGCAUUUCCUUAGCAAACUUGUUGUGAUCUUCCUUGAUGGCAUAUUCAUACAUAAUGAUCAUAUUGUCGACCAUCAACUGCAUGAUAAUAUCCACAUGUUGAGCAUCCAUUGCCAUGUUCAUGCAUUUGAUAAACCAUCCCAUUAUGACAUCAUUUUGCAUCGUGGUUGCAUUGCUCAUAUUCAUAACACAUUUGUGUACACAGUGAUUGCUUAUCCUCCCAUGAAUGCUUUGCAUCUCAUUCUAGAUCAACUUGAUAAGCUUCAUGCGCUUUGUCACGACCAAUCUUGCCGCACGGACUCAUUCUUACAUGAUGGACACUUUGUGUGCGCUAACCAUUGUAUUUCCGAGUGUUGCUUGUGUUUGCUCUUUUUGCAUGUCUAUCACUCCGGCGACACCUUGGACUACUUGGAUUGCGCCGUGUCUUCAACUUCUUCCAACUACAAGUCCGUCUACGACAACCGUUUCCAUGGUGAUGAGGAUCACGAUCCGAGGUCGGAUCUUUCCCAAGGGGGGGGGGCAGAUGAUGCGGAGCAUCCCACGGUCAUCCCCAUGUACACUCCGACUACUCUCCAAGCCCCAAGAGGACAUAAGACGAGACCUCUAAUAUACACCAUUGGACACAAGGUGAACUCUCUCCUCUCCGAACCUUCACUUUCUACAUGUGAGACAUGGCUACUACCUCAUGCAUGGACCUUGCAUACACUCAGGCACAACCAAGAUGACCAUGGAGGAUCCAAGGACCAAGGCCAAGCAUGGAAGAGGAGAAGGAAGAAGAAGCCGGGAGCAAGCGGUACUACCGCCCAGGCCCAGUGGUACUACCGCUUAUCAUCACAAGCGGCACUACCGCUCCACAUCCGCUUCACUCCCGCAAAGUCCGACAAACUUCGGAGAUCGAAUGGCUCCAGAGCGGUACUACCGCCCAUCAUAGCGGUACUACCGCUUGCACGCCUCAAGCGGUACUACCGCCCGAAGGACCGGUACUACCGCCCUGUCUGUGCACAGUGUAUAGGGCCGAGCCCAUGUACCCCUUCGCCCUCACUUACCCCUUCGUGGCUCUAGACUAUAUAUACUCCUCCACCUCCUCCUAGUUAGGGUUAGCAUUGAUUUAGCUCAAGUUAGAGAUAGAGCUUCGCUCAUCCAUCGGAUCUCCUCCUCGUGAGAGACCGCGGCCUCUUCGGAGAAGAUCCUAUCGGAUUCAAGACCCCCUCGUGGGAAGAUCCCCUUGUGGAUUCAAGACCUCCUCACGGAGAAGAUCGGUUACCUUUGUAUCCUUACCUUUGUUGACUUUGGAUCUCGUGUAUCUCUUUGUGUUCUUUGAUCUAGCACUUGUGUGACCGAUUCCUUGUUGGUUGAGUGUUUUCCCUCGUUCCUCCCCGUGAUUCCCUCGUGUUCUUCCGUGCGUUCUUCGUGUUUCCCCAUAGGAUCCACUCCAAACGUGAAAGAUCGUCACCAUAGGGUUCCGCCCUCCAUCAACGUGCCUCUGUGGAUUUUCAGGACAUUCCGAGAACUUUUGUUUUCUACACAUAAAAACAACAUCAUGGCAGUUCUGCUGAAAACAGCGUCAGUCUGGGUUAGUUUCAUUCAAAUCAUGCAAGUUAGAGUCCAAAACAAGGGCAAAAGUGUUUGGAAAAGUAGAUAUGUUGGAGACGUAUCAGCGGCCAGGUAAAGCACUAAGGGUUCUAGAGGGCGAGGCGCUACCAUCAUCGGCGGGCUGGUGAGGUGCUUCUUGAGGUCUUGGAAAGCGGCUUCGACUUCCAGAGUCCACUCAAAUGGGCCCUUCUUCUUCAUCAGCUUGAAGAACGGAAGGGCGCAUUCGCCCAACUUGGAGAUGAAGCGCCCCAGCGAGGUUACGCAGCCCGCCAGCUUCUGCAUCUCUUCGACGGUUUGCGGCGGGCUCAUCUUCUCUAUCGCCUUGAUCUUCUAUGGGUUGGCUUUGAUCCCUCUGUGCGACACCAGGACACCCAGCAGCUUGCUAGACGGCAUGCCGAACACGCACUUCUCCGGGUUGAGCCGCAAGGUUGAUACGUCUCCAACGUAUCUAUAAUUUUUGAUUGCUCCAUGCUACUUUAUCUACUGUUUUAGGCAAUAUUGGGCUUUAUUAUCCACUUUUAUAUUAUUUUUGGGACUAACCUAUUAACCGGAGGCCUAACCCAGAUUUGCUGUUUUAUGCCUAUUUCAGUGUUUCGAGGAAAAGGAAUAUCAGAGGGAGUCAAAACGGAACGAAAUCAACUGGAGAAGUUAUUUUUGGAAGGAAACCCACCUCAUGGACUUGGACCCCAUGUCAGAAGAUACGGGUGGUGCUGACGAGGGUGGGGGCGCGCCCUCCCCCCUGGGCGCGCCCCCCUGCCUCGUGGGGCCCCCGUAGCUCCACCGACGUUCUCCUUUCACCCAUAUAUACCUACGUACCCUAAAACUUCCAGAACAGAAGAUAGAUCGGGAGUUCCGCCGCUGCAAGCCUCUGUAGCCACCAAAAACCAAUCGGUACCAUGUUCCGACACCCUGCCGGAGGGGGAUCCCAUCACCGGAGGCCAUCUUCAUCAUCCGGCGCUAUCCAUGACGAGGAGGGAGUAGUUCACCCUCGGGGCUAAGGGUAUGUACCAGUAGCGAUGUGUUUGAUCUCUCUCUCUCUCUCGUGUUCUCUCUCGUGUUCCUCUAUGGCAUGAUCUUGAUGUAUCCUGAGCUUUGCUAUUGUAGUUGGAUCUUAUGAUGUUUCUCCCCCUCUACUCUCUUGUGAUGAAUUGAGUUUCCCCUUUGAAGUUAUCUUAUCGGAUUGAGUCUUUUAUGAACACUUGAUGUAUGUCUUGCGUGGGAUAACCGUGGUGACAAUGGGUUAUUCUAUUCAUCCACUUGAUGUAUGUUUUGGUGAUCAACUUGCGGGUUUCGUGGCAUUGGGAACCUAUGCAUAGGGGUUGGCACACGUUCUCGACUCUCCGGUAGUAGCUUUGGGGCACUCUUUGAAGUACUUUUAUAUUGGUUGGAUGAAUCUGAGAUUGUGUGAUGCAUAUCGUAUAAUCAUGCCCACGGAUACUUGAGGUGACAAUGGAGUAUCUAGGUGACAUUAGGGUUUUGGUUGAUUUGUGUCUUAAGGUGUUAUUCCAGUACGAACUCUUUUAUAGAUCGAUCCGAAAGAAUAGCUUUGUGGUGGUUUCGUACCCGACCAUAAUCUCUACGUUUGUUCUCCGCUAUUAGUGGCUUUGGAGUGACUCUUUGUUGCAUGUUGAGGGCUUGUCAUAUGUUGUAUCUAUGUUAUUAUUGUUGAGAGAACUUGCACUAGUGAAAGUAUGAACCCUAGGCCUUGUUUCCUACCAUUGCAAUACCGUUUAUGCUCACUUUUACCGCUCGCUACCUUGCUGUUUUUAUUAUUUCAGAUUACAAAAACCUAUAUCUACUAUCUAUUUUGCACUUGUAUCUUUAUCUCUUCGCCGAACUAGUGCACCUAUACAAUUUACCAUUGUAUUGGGUGUGUUGGGGACACAAGAGACUCUUUGUUAUUUGGUUGGAGGGUUGCUUGAGAGAGACCAUCUUCAUCCUAUGCCUCCUACGGAUUGAUAAACCUUAGGUCAUCCACUUGAGGGAAAAUUGCUACUGUCCUACAAACCUGUGCACUUGCAGGCCCAACAACGUCUACAAGAAGAAGGUUGUGUAGUAGACAUCAAGCUCUUUUCUGGCGCCGUUGUUGGGGAGGCUAGGUAAGUGAAGGUAUAUCUUUAGAUCUUGCAAUUGAAUCUUUUUAUUUCUUGUUUUAGCACUAGUUUAUUUUAUAAAAGAAAACUACAAAAAAAAUGGAGUUGAGUUUAUCUCAUACGCUUCACCUUUUUAAUAUCUUUCGUGAGUAUGAUGGAAAGGAUAAUUGUGCUCAAGUACUAGAAGAAGAAAUCUAUAGAAUGUUUUUAUAUGAUGAGCAUGAUUGCAAUGUUGUUAGUAUGAAUUCCUUGAAUAUCCAUGAUGCUAAUGAUAUGCAAAGCCACAAGCUUGGGGAAGCUGUGUUUGAUGGAUAUGAUAUAUUUUGUCCCCCAAGCUUUGAUGAGCAAAUUUACCAUGAUGAAAGCAUGCCUCCUAUUUAUGAUGAUUAUUGUGAUGAUACGUAUGCUAUAAAGAAGAAGUUUGCUUAUGUGGACAGUAGAAAAUUUUCUAUACUUGUAAAUCAUGAAAAGAAUGCUUUAGGUGCUGGUUAUAUUGUUGAAUUCAUUCAUGAUGCUACUGAAAAUUAUUAUGAUGGAGGAACAUAUGCUUGUAGGAAUUGCAAUAACGUCAAGUUUCCUCUCUAUGUGCUUAAAAUCUUGAAGUUAUGCUUGUUGUGCCUUCCUAUGCUAGUUGAUUAUUGUUCUCCUAAGUUGUUUGCUCACAAAAUCCCUAUGCAUAGGAAGUGGGUUAGACUUAAAUGUGCUAGUCAUAUGCUUCAUGAUGCUCCCGUUAUGUUUCAAUUCUUAUCUUUUAUGUGAGCAUCAUUGUCAUCAUCAUGCCUAGCUUGAAAAGGCAUUAAAGAAAAGCGCUUGUUGGAAGACAACCCAAUAUUUAUCCUUACUGUUUUUCUGUGUCCACAUGACUAUGCUACUUUAGUAAUCAUGUUUUAUAGCUUUUGUUUCAAUAAAGUGCCAAGUAGAACCUUUGGGAAGACUUGGGUGAAGUUUAUAUGAUUUUGCUGUGAAAAACAGAAACUUUAGCGCUCACGAGAUUAGCUGCCAUUUUUUACUGGAGAGUGAUUUUAGGUUGAUUAUUUUUGCAGAUGAUUAAUAGACAAAUUUCUCAGGUCCAGCAAUUUAUUUCAUAAUUUUUGGGGUUGCAGAAUUAUACGUUUUAUACAGAUUACUACAGACUAUUCUGUUUUUGACAGAUUCUGUUUUCUAUGUGUUGUUUGCUUAUUUUGAUGCAUCUAUGAGUAGUAUCGGAGGGUAUGAAACAUAGAUAAGUUGGAUUACAGUAGAUAUUACAUCAAUAUAAAUUUAGAAUGAGUUCAUUACAGUAUCUAAGUGGUGGUUUUAUUUUCUUAUACUAACGGAGCUUACGAGUUUUGUGUUGAAGUUUUGUGUGGUUGAAGUUUUCAAGUUUUGGGUAAAGAUUCGAUGGACUAUGGAAUAAGGAGUGGCAAGAGACUAAUCUUGGGGAUUCCCAAGGCACCCCAAGGUAAUAUUCAAGGACAACCAAGCAACUAAUCUUGGGGAUGCCCCGGAAGGCAUCCCCUCUUUCGUCUUCGUUCAUCGGUAACUUUACUUGGAGCUAUAUUUUUAUUCACCACAUGAUAUGUGUUUUGCUUGGAGCGUCAAUUUCUUUUGUUAGUUUUUGCUUGAUGUUAGUUAGAAUAGUGUUUUGCCUCUUUAGUUUCAAUAAAAAGGUCAAGGAUAGCCUUUGCCAUGCUUAUUUUGCUUGUCUGCAUGUUGCUGUUUGAAAAUACAAAGUUUACCGCUGUUGCAAAAAUUCCCUAGAAAAGUCAGAGCAUGGUCUAGCGUUGAAUCUUUUUGCAUAUUGAGCUCUGAUAAAUUUAUUACAGUGGAAAUUUUAGUUCAUAAUUUCUGGAGUCAGGGAAGUAUUGAUACUCUUGCAUUCUUUACAGACUGUACUGUUUUGACAGAUUGCUGUUAUGGUUGCAUUGUUUGCAUAUGUUUGCUUGUUUAAUGAUUCUAUUUGAUGAUAGGAGUAUUAAAUAUGCAGAGGAAUUUAGUAUGCAAUGUUGAAUAAUAACUUAAGUGAUUUGUUACAGUAGAAAAUGAUAAGGUUUUGCAUUGGUUUAUACUAACCUAUCUCACGAGUUCUUGUUGAGUUUGUUGUGAAUGAAGCUUUUGAUAAAAAGAGAAACCAUGAUAUGAGAGGAAUUAAGGAGACAAAAAAGUUCAAGCUUGGGGAUGCCCAAGGCACCCCAAGAUAAUAUUUCAAGAAGUCUCAAGCAUCUAAGCUUGGGGAUGCCCCGGUAGGCAUCCCACCUUUCUUCUUCAACAACUAUCGGUUAGUAUCGGUUGAGCCUAAGUUUUUGCUUCUUCACAUGAGUUGUGCUAUCCUUGCAUUGUAGUUUCCUUUAGCUUUGCUUGCUGUUUGAAUGAAUUACCAAGAUCUGAAUUCUUUAUUGAGAGAGAGCCAUACAUGAAUUGAAAUUUUAUAGAAUACUCUAUGUGCUUCACUUAUACCUUUUGAGCUUGAUAGUUUGCUCAUAGUGCUUCACUUAUAUCUUUUGAGCGUGAUAAUUUUUGCUCUAGUGCUUCACUUAUAUCUUUUAGAGCAUGGUGGUAGUUUUAUUUUGAAGAAAUAGAUGAACUCUCAUGCUUCACUUAUAUUAUUUUGAGAGUCAUUAAUAGCAUGGUAGUUUUCUUAAUGUUAAUAUACUUGGUAUUCAAGAUAUGUGAACUUUUCUUUUGAGUGAAUUGAAUACUAAGAUAAGUUUGAUGCUUGAUAAUUGUUUUGAGAUAUGGAGGUGAUAAUAUCAAAGUGAUGCUAGUUGGGUGAUUACGAAUUUAAAGAAUGCUUGUGUUGAAGUUUGUGAUUUUCGUAGCAUGCACGUAUGGUGAACCGCUUUGUGAUGAAGUUGGAGCACAAUUUUAUUUAUUGAUUGUCUUCCUUAUGAGUGGCGGUCGGGGACGAGCGAUGGUCUUUUCCUACCAAUCUAUCCCCCUAGGAGAAUGCCCGUAGUGCUUUGGUUUUUGAUGACUUCUAAAUUUUUGCAACAAGUGCAUGAGUUAUUUUGAUUAAUGUUGAGUCCAUGGAUUAUACGCACCCUUUCACCCUUCCAUUAUUGCUAGCCUCUCUUGUGCCGUGCAACUUUCGCCGGUACCAUACACCCACCAUAUACCUUCCUCAAAACAGCCACCAUACCUACCUAUCAUGGCAUUUCCAUAGCCAUUCCGAGAUAUAUUGCCAUGCAACUUUCCACCGUUCCGUUUAUUAUGACACGCUCCAUCAUUGUCAUAUUGCUAGAAUGAUCAUGUAGUGGACAUCGUAUUUGUGGCAAAGCCACUAUUCAUAAUUCUUUCAUACAUGUCACUCAUGAUUCAUUGCAUAUCCCGGUACACCACCGGAGGCAUUCAUAUAGAGUCAUACUUUGUUCUAAGUAUCGAGUUGUAAUUGUUGAGUUGUAAGAAAAAUAAAAGUGUGAUGAUCAUCAUUAUUAGAGCAUUGUCCCAGUGAGGAAAGGAUGACGGAGACUAUGAUUUCCCCAUAAGUCGGGAUGAGACUCCGGACGAAAAAAUUAAAAGAGGCCAAAGAAUCCCAAAUAAAAAAAGAGGCCAUAAAAAAGAAGAAGAGAAAAGGCUCAAAUAAAAAAAUACAAAAUAAAAAAAUGAGAGAAAAAGAGAGAAGGGACAAUGCUACUAUCCUUUUACCACACUUGUGCUUCAAAGUAGCACCAUGGUCUUCAUGAUAGAGAGUCUCAUGUGUUGUCACUUUCAUAUACUAGUGGGACUUUUUCAUUAUAGAACUUGGCUUGUAUAUUCCAAUGAUGGGCUUCCUCAAAAGUGCCCUAGGUCUUCGUGAGCAAGCGAGUUGGAUGCACACCCUCUUAGUUUCUUUUGUUGAGCUUUCAUAUACUUAUAGCUCUAGUGCAUCCGUUGCAUGGCAAUCCCUACUCACUCACAUUGAUAUCUAUUGAUGGGCAUCUCCAUAGCCCGUUGAUACGCCUAGUUGAUGUGAGACUAUCUUCUCCUUUUUGUCUUCUCCACAACCACCAUUCUAUUCCACCUAUAGUGAUAUGUCCAUGGCUCACGCUCAUGUAUUGCGUGAAAGUUGAAAAAGUUUGAGAUUACUAAAGUAUGAAACAAUUGCUUGGCUUGUCAUCGGGGUUGUGCAUGAUUAAAUACUUUGUGUGAUGAAGAUAGAGCAACAGCCAGACUAUAUGAUUUUGUAGGGAUAACUUUCUUUAGCCAUGUUUUUUUGAGAAGACAUGAUUGCUUAGUUAGUAUGCUUGAAGUAUUAUUAUUUUUAUGUCAAUAUGAACUUUUGUCUUGAAUCUUUCGGAUCUGAAUAUUCAGAUCACAAUUAAGAAGAUUUACAUUGAAAUUAUGCCAAAGUAUCACUCUGCAUCAAAAAUUCUUUUUUAUCAUUUACCUACUUGAGGACGAGCAGGAAUUAAGCUUGGGGAUGCUUGAUACGUCUCCAACGUAUCUAUAAUUUCUGAUUGCUCCAUGCUACUUGAUCUACUAUUUUAGGCAAUAUUGGGAUUUAUUAUCCACUUUUAUAUUAUUUUUGGGACUAACCUAUUAACCGGAGGCCCAGCCCAGAUUUGCUGUUUUAUGCCUAUUUCAGUGUUUCGAGGAAAAGGAAUAUCAGACAGAGUCAAAACGGAACGAAAUCAACUGGAGAAGUUAUUUUUGGAAGGAAACCCACCUCAUGGACUUGGACCCCACGUCAGAAGAUACGGGAGGUGCUCACGAGGGUGGGGGCGCGCCCUCCCCCCCUAGGCGCGCCCCCGUGCCUUGUGGGGCCCCCGUAGCUCCACCGACGUUCUCCUUUCACCCAUAUAUACCUACGUACCCUAAAACUUCCAGAACAGAAGAUAGAUCGGGAGUUCCGCCGCCGCAAGCCUCUGUAGACACCAAAAACCAAUCAGGACCCUGUUCCGGCACCCUGCCGGAGGGGGAUCCCAUCACCGGAGGCCAUAUUCAUCAUCCCGGCACUAUCCAUGACGAGGAGGGAGUAGUUCACCCUCGGGGCUGAGGGUAUGUACCAGUAGUUAUGUGUUUGAUCUCUCUCUCUCUCUCUCGUGUUCUCUCUCAUGUUCCUCUAUGGCACGAUCUUGAUGUAUCCCGAGCUUUGCUAUUGUAGUUGGAUCUUAUGAUGUUUCUUCCCCUCUACUCUCUUGUGAUGAAUUGAGUUUCCCCUUUGAAGUUAUCUUAUCGGAUUGAGUCUUUUAUGAACACUUGAUGUAUGUCUUGCGUGGGAUAACCAUGGUGACAAUGGGUUAUUCUAUUGAUCCACUUGAUGUAUGUUUUGGUGAUCAACUUGCGGGUUUCAUGACAUUGGGAACCUAUGCAUAGGGGUUGGCACACGUUCUUGACUCUCCGGUAGUAGCUUUGGGGCACUCUUUGAAGUACUUUUAUGUUGGUUGGAUGAAUCUAAGAUUGUGUGAUGCAUAUCAUAUAAUCAUGCCCACAGAUACUUGAGGUGACAAUGGAGUAUCUAGGUGACAUUAGGGUUUUGGUUGAUUUGUGUCUUAAGGUGUUAUUCUAGUACGAACUCUUUUAUAGAUCGAUCUGAAAGAAUAGCUUUGUGGUGGUUUCGUACCCGACCAUAAUCUCUACGUUUGUUCUCCGCUAUUAGUGGCUUUGGAGUGACUCUUUGUUGCAUGUUGAGGGCUUGUCAUAUGUUCUAUCUAUGUUAUUAUUGUUGAGAGAACUUGCACUAGUGAAAGUAUGAACCCUAGGCCUUGUUUCCUACCAUUGCAAUACCGUUUACGCUCACUUUUACUGCUCGCUACCUUGCUGUUUUUAUUAUUUCAGAUUACAAAAACCUAUAUCUACUAUCUAUUUUGCACUUGUAUCUUCAUCUCUUCGCCAAACUAGUGCACCUAUACAAUUUACCAUUGUAUUGGGUGUGUUGGGGACACAAGAGACUCUUUGUUAUUUGGUUGCAGGGUUUCUUGAGAGAGACCAUCUUCAUCCUACGCAUCCUACGGAUUGAUAAACCUUAGGUCGUACACUUGAGGGAAAUUUGCUACUGUCUUACAAACCUGUGCACUUGCAGGCCCAACAACGUCUACAAGAAGAAGGUUGUGUAGUAGACAUCAAAGGUCACCUUGCACAGGUUGGAAAAUGUCUCCUCCAGAUCUUUGACAAGGGUUCUUGCCACCCAAGAUUUGACCACUAUGUCAUCGACACAUGCCUCGGCGUUCCUCCCGAGCUGCUGGCCCAAAGCGAUGUGCAUCAGUCGCUGGAAGGUUUCUCCGGCAUUGCGCAACCCGAACGGCAUGCAUGUGUAGCAGUACACCCCGCACGGGGCCAGGAAAGCCGUCUUCUCGACAUCCUGCAUCGCCAUCUUGAUCUGAUGAUAGCCUGAGAAGGCGUCCAAGAAGCAUAACAAAUCGUACUCGGCGAUGGAGUCGACGAUCUGGUCGAUGUGCGGAAGGGGGAAAGGUUCUUGGGGACAAGCUUUGUUGAGGAUCAUAAAAUCGACGCACAUGCGCUCCUUCCCGCCCUUCUUGGGGAUGAUAACUGUGUUCGCCAAUGAAUCUGGAUGCCGCACCUCCCGUAUGACGUCGGCCUCCUAUAGCUUGUGACUCUCCUGGAUGAUGAAUGAAUGCUUCUCCGGGGCUUGUCGCCUUGCCUUCUGCUUCACGGGGCGUGCGUUGGGGCACACCACGAGGUGGUGCUCGAUCACCCUGCGCGGAAUGCCAACCAGGUCCGUCGCCUCCCACGCAAACACAUUCUUGUUUGCGCGUAGGAAGCUGACCAGCGCCUCUUCCUGGUCCAGGGGGAGGCCGACACCUAUGGUGAAGGUAACGCCUCAACCCCUAUCCUCGUUGACCGGCACCUGCUUCAUCUCNNNNNNNNNNNNNNNNNNNNNNNNNNNNNNNNNNNNNNNNNNNNNNNNNNNNNNNNNNNNNNNNNNNNNNNNNNNNNNNNNNNNNNNNNNNNNNNNNNNNNNNNNNNNNNNNNNNNNNNNNNNNNNNNNNNNNNNNNNNNNNNNNNNNNNNNNNNNNNNNNNNNNNNNNNNNNNNNNNNNNNNNNNNNNNNNNNNNNNNNNNNNNNNNNNNNNNNNNNNNNNNNNNNNNNNNNNNNNNNNNNNNNNNNNNNNNNNNNNNNNNNNNNNNNNNNNNNNNNNNNNNNNNNNNNNNNNNNNNNNNNNNNNNNNNNNNNNNNNNNNNGGCCGCUCGGCAGCCGCGGCUUUGAAAGUGAGCCUGAGGGCUGCGAGCACUUCCUUGUUGUCCCCUGCCACGGUAAGGACACCACCACUUCUUGGCAUCUUCAUGAUGUUGUAGCCGGGGUGAGUUGCCACCAUGAACUUGGCACGGGCCAGGUACUUGAGAAUGGCGUUGUACGGGAGCCCAUUGCGGGCGACAUCAAAGUCAAUGAGCUCGGUACGGUAGUUGCUGCACGUUUCGAAGGUGACGGGGAGGCGGAUCUGCCCCCAAGGGAUAGGUGGAACUGCCGCCGACCCCAGAGAAGGGCUUGGUCGGGAGGAGACGGCUGUGAGGCACAUGGAGCAGGCCAAAUGCCUCCAUAGUGAGGACGUUGAGGCCGACGCCGCCGUCGAUGAGGGUCCUGGUGACCGCUAAGUUGCAGAUAGUGGGGGUGCAAAGCAUGGGAAGCGCGCCUGUGCCGGCCGUGGUCUUGGGAUGAUCCCUGGAGUUGAAGGUGAGGUCGGCCCUGGGUGCCGCCCAACCCAAAGCCCCCCCCUGCCUGGCGAAAGAACUGCUUGAUGUGGCGGUCUGAGGCCGGCGCUUGUGACCCGCUGAGGAUGGCCGCGACGGCGUGGGGCACCGGCAUUGCGAAGCACACGAACAUGCCGCGCAUCUCUUCCUAGGAGGCCACGAGGACUCUGGUAGGUUGAGGAACCAGGCGCGGGGCACACCCGUAAGAGCCAUAGGGAGCCAAUUUUCCAUGACCUUGUCGUCGCCGUCGGCCACCCAGAUGGCUUCCGCAUACACCUGGAUGAAUUCCGCGGGGUCCACCACGCCAUCAUAUCGCGACGGCAACUCCGACUUGAACUUCGGCGGCCAUUGCACCCGCCGUAGGGCGGGGGAGAAAGCUCGGUGGCCCCCGGUGCCUCCAAAUGUGCCCGGCGGCCCAGCGAGUAGAGGGACGCCUAUCAUGGGAACAAAGCGGCGAGGGCGGAGCGCGGCUGGCGAGGAGGCAACCCUUCGACACGUUCCCUACCUGGCGCACCAAACGUCGGAUUCAGGGCUCCGCGGACCCAAGAAAAGUUCGAACUUUGGGGCGUGUGCGAAGAACUGAACCUCUCAUGCCAAUGGAUGCACCGCCCUCAUGGCCUAGCUUGAUUAAUGGGAAAGGGAAGAGACACGGCAGUUUACCCAGGUUCGGGCCACCUUGCGGUGUAAGACCCUACUCCUUCUUUGGGGUGGAUUGGCCUCACGAGGGGCUGAGGAAGAACUAGUACAAAAGAAGAAGAACCUCAAGAGGUCAGUUCUUGCAUGGGUGCGAACUAGUGAGGGUUCAGGUUUCGGAUACCGGAUCCCUCGUACGGUGGUGGCUAAGCUAUAGUUAUAUUGGCCUCGGUCCUCUUCCUCCAAAACAAAGGCGGGAAGGGAUCCCACAAUGGCCAAGUUUGAAGGGGGACAAGUAGUACAUCUUAUCCUGAUGAAAGGUGGUCUUCGCCUGCAAGCUUCUGGUCGUGAUGCCUUGGUGGGCCCGGUGAUGACAUCUGUCCUGCCGUCCUAGAGGUUUUGGUCUCAUUGCACGGGAAUGGAAGCCUUUGCCUAAUUCCUUGGGACCCUGUGCCCCCGCUUGCCUCAUUAGCACCAAAGAGGAAACCUACUACUCUGCGCCCGCUAGCCCCCGCCUGGCCUUGGUCGUCAUGGCUUACAUCACCUCAACCUCAUGAGGUGAGCGCCUGCAUAGGAAUCUCCGCUUCUCAGGAGGCCGCCUGGGAAGGCCGCUCCCUCCAGAGGUCUUGGUGUCGUCCGCCUCGCGAGGCUUGGCCCAUCGUGAGGGUCUUGUGUUUGUCGAUGUUGAAGAUGGGUCGUACCAGGCCGUUGAUGGAGCCACACUGUGGGCCACAGGCAGGCAAGUCUGGGUACCAUGGUUCCCAGAACGGCGACAGAGUGAUAGUGACAAUUGCCCACUCCUCAUGUGUGGGCGCCACAACUCCUACAGCAACUCGAACCCUAGUUGGUCUUCCUUCCAUUUUGAUGUGUUGGUGGCCUGACGCGAUGAAUUGAGUGGAUCGAAAGGGAAUGUGGCCAUGGUUGCCGACGACAAUGAGACCACCAAGAAGUUGGAGGGGAUGUGGAAAGUUGAUGAGCAGAGUGGGGUGGUAUUGCUCAUGGUAGGUGCGCUGACAACGGGCUGAUUUAUUGGAUUCACGGGAAUAGUGGUGAUUUUUUUAGGGCUAUGGGAAUAGUGGUGGUUGCUGUUGAAUUUCCUGGGAAGGUUCAUAGUGUUGAAUGGGCUGUGAUGUUGCACCCGAAGGUGGGCUAGAAUUGGGCUUAGGAGUAGAGUAGCAGUCCCUGGCUAUACCAACGCUUAAAUGAGCAGCACUUAUGUUGGGAAUUGUUGCAUGGAAAACAAAAAAAAUUCUACACAGACGUCAUGAUAUAUCCAUAGAGAUGCAUAGCAAUGAGGGGGAGAGUGUGUCUACAUACCCUCGUAGAACAUAAGCGGAAGCGUUUCACAACGUGGUUGAUGUAGUUGAACUUCCUCGCGCUUCAACUGAUCAAGUACGAACGCAUGGCACCUCCGUAUUCUACACACGUUCAGCUCGGUGACAUACCUUGCCUUCUUGAUCCAGCAAGACGUCGAGGUAGUAGAUGAGUUCCGUCAACACGACGUCAUGGUGACGGUAAUGGUGAAGUGAUCUCCGCAGGGCUUCGUCUAAGCACUAUGAAAAUAUGACUGGGGGUGUAAACGGUGGAGGGCGGCGCUGCACACGGCUAACAAUUGAUCCGGCGUGUGCUAGACGCCCCCUUCCCACAUAUAUAUAGGUGGGAGGGGGAGGGGAGAGGCCAUGGCGUACCCUAGGGCUGGCCGCCGGCCCCCCUAGGGCCAUGCCUUGCCCUGCGCCCCCCUACCAUGUUUCCCCAAGGGGGAAGGAAAGAGGGGGGAGAGGGAAGGAAGUGGGAAUCCUAAUCCUCACUUCCCUUUCCCUUCUCCCGUUUCCUUCUCCUCCUUAGGCCGACCCAUAUGGGGGGCCCACCUGCCCCUUGUAGCUGGUACUUUUCCCCUCUUGGCCCAUAAGGCCCAUAUCUUUUACUGGGAUGCCCGGAACCCCUUCCGGUGACCCGAUAAGUACCCGGUACCUCCCGAAACACAUUCAGUGUCCGAAUACCAUCAGCAUAUAUAUCAAUCUUUACCUCUCGACCAUUUUGAGACUCCUCGUAAUGUCCGUGAUCUCACCCAGGACUCCGAACAACAUUCAGUCACCAUAUCACAUAACUCAUAUAAUACUAUAUUGUCAUCGAAUGUUAAGCGUGCGGACCCUACGGGUUCGAGAACUAUGUAGACAUGACCGAGACACCUUUCCGGUCAAUAACCAAUAGCGGAACAUGGAUACCUAUAUUGGCUCCUACAUAUUCUCCGAAGAUCUUUAUCGGUCGAACUGUUAUGACAACAUACGUAAUUCCCUUUGUCCAUCGGUACGUUACUUGCCCGAGAUUCGAUCGUUGGUAUCUUCAUACCUAGUUAAAUCUUGUUAUCGGCAAGUCUCUUUACUCAUUCCGUAAUACAUCACCUCAUGACUAACUCAUUAGUUGUUUGCUUGCAAGCUUAUGAUGUGUAUUACCGAGAAGGCCUAGAGAUACCUCUCCGAUACUUAGAGUGACAUCCUAAUAUCGAUCUAUGUGAAGGAAAUAUGCCCUAGAGGCAAUAAUAAAGUUAUUAUUUAUUUCCUUAUAUCAUGAUAAAUGUUUAUUAUUCAUGCUAGAAUUGUAUUAACCGGAAACAU
rnacentral:lncRNA from 1 species